CACUAACCGUCUAACUAACCAAUCCAAUUGACAGCUAACUGCCAGCUAACUACCUCACACAAGUUGCACGUGUUAUGUGACACUUCCACUCUCAAUAGCAAGCCAAUAAGAUUCUGUGACAAUUUAUAUCACUUUGGCAUCGGUCACGGUGUUGUUUGAUGAAUUAACGAUCUUCAAUUAGAGAACGCCAUGAUUUGCAAACAAGUUUGAACUUUCCAGGUGAUUUGACAGGAAGCUUUAGCAGUAUAUCGACGACGAUAUCAUCGGGAAAGUUAUUCAUUCUAACAGCUAAAAGAUUUUGGGUUUGAGCUUCUGUUUGUUUUGUUCGACAGAAUUAAUGUCCUAAAUAUAGGGUUUAAUAUAAGUGAAGCAAGAAAACUAUUAACGCUGCCUUUUUUUCCUUUUUUUGGUGGAAGAAGGAUUCUCAACAUCUAACCUUUUUAAUUCGUUUACCCAACUUUGUCAUGUCGCAUGUUUUUGCUUUUUCCUAGCUAGUGGGAGUAGGAUUUCAAUUUUACCUUCCUUUUCUUGUUUUAUUGGAUUGAACCAAUAUUUCUUCCGUCACACCUGAAACAUUUGCUGAUUUUCUUUCACAGCCUUAUCAAUUUGCUUAAAUAGUUUCCACCAAUUCCAACAUAUUAACCAAGUUCCUUACUUCCUCAUGUAAGUAUAUCUACUGUGAGUAUAAUUCUAAAAUACUAACAAAUGAAGAAUUAAGAAAAAAUUGCACUUGUAUCUUAAAUAAGGUUGAGAGUAGCAUGGUUCAAUAUUCAAUAGAAGAACGAAAUAUAUCAAUCGCACAUGACAUAAAUAAUAUAUGACAAUUUAUUCAAACUUCCUCGAAACAAAGGUGAUUUCUAUAGCAGGCAAGGAAACGCGAAGAUUGACUUACAAAAUUAUGUGUUAAUAUUAUGCAGAAAGUUCUAGAAAAUUCAAUCAAUACUGCAUCACAAUUCCAAAUUAGUUGAGAUCCAUUAUAUAAUUUUGUCUUUAUUCCAUUUUAUUCAAACCACAUCAACAUAAAUGACAUUGAUAAUAAAGGUGGAAAAAUGCAAAACCAGCGGACAAAUUUGAGGAGAGCAUGAGAAAGUAUUAGGAUAUCUUUCCACUGUAAUCUUUGUACAGGCUUUAAUGCAUGAAAUAAAUGGCGAGUUCUGCUUUUUUCUAAGAAUAUUAAUCUACAUUUUAGUUGCUAUGUUAGAAAAACAAAGAAUACAACAUUUAUAUAGGAGUAGUUAGGGGCUCGGAUUAAAUCGAAAAUCCAAACCGAACAAAACGGAAUUUUAAUUUGGAUUGUUUUGCGAUGCUAAUGCUCCAAUUUCCUACCAUGGCAGGUGAUGAUCUACUCUUCUUCUUCACUGAUGGCUUACAAAAUUGGGCAAAACAAGAGCUCUAACGCCAUAAGGCCAAGGACAUCGAUGAAACCAUCGUAGGGGCUGAGUCUUUGACUGAAUAUAAGGCCAAGGGGCAUAAGGGAAGAGAUCACAACGGUAAAGCUAUCAAAGGUGAGAUAUCCUAGAGAAGGGUUAUUUAUGUACAAACAGGAUUUGCUUUAUAGUGUAUCUCAACAAGAAUUUAUUACACUGCAAUAAUCUUUUAGAUGGCUUCUAUCUAUUUUACAACAGCGGAAUUACCAGGAGCACUUUAAAUUAUAGUGAGGUUCUAUAAUUGUAAUUCAGAAACAAAGACUAGCACAACAAUGUGAGACAUGGAAUCUACCUACCUAGUAGAAUUGGAUGGUGCCAUGGACAAAGCUCGACUGGACCGCACUUUAGAUAAAUGAAGCUCAGGCUGCAUUUCUUCUCAACAACCUUAGCAACAAAAUCCUUCUCCAGCCAAGUGUCCCGAGUCUUCACGUUUUAUUAUCAACAAUCUCCGGAAGGCUCUUCAGUGCCUUUGGUGGAAAAAGAGAUUUAUACCAACGAAGAGAGAAAGAAAGAAAAGAUUAUGAAAUGAUGAUUAAACCAUGAUUUUUACUGCUGACCUGAUACAAGUACCAGGAAACAAAGGCAUCCGUAGCAGCAUAAUAUAGUUUUUCCUUAGAUAACUCAUUUGCCUCCCAAUUUCCCAGCCUGAUCUUACUUGGCUUGGGGAGCUGCAAGAACAAGAAAAUCUCCGUUGAAUCUCACACUUAAUUGCAAGAAAAGAAAGAAUUCUAAUUGAAGGAAACAAAACUAGAAAGAUUUACAGGGAGUAGCAGCAUAUCAUAAUUACUCCUAAUAUAGUAAGUCAAUUGUCUUUCCAGCAAGACUUUACACUCAAAAUAUGCACAUACGUCCAGCUGAUGAGGUAGCAUUUCUACUUGGUUUCUUCUCUAAACAGUUGCAAAGGUUGAAGUUCUCUGCGUAUACUUUAACAAGUCAACUAAGUAAAACUCAGUCUAUCGAUACAAAACAGGCUCAGCAGCCCUACAAAACUGGAAUAAAGCAAGAAACCAAUCCCCAAUUCCCCCUCUUCCCUCCCAACCCCCCAGCAGUUCAAGGAUCUUAAAUGGCGGCAACGAAAAACACAAAAUAAAGUAAAAUAGUAAUAGAUAUGAUUGAAACAGAAACCAAAAGAAAACCUGCUUGGCAAGAAGCUUCUCAGUUAGUGAUGCUAGACUCCAUUUCUUGGGCUCUUCAUCAAACUUUUUGUUGGCGAGUUCAGAAAGAUCUUCCAAAGUCUUUACAGAUACAUUGUGAUCUAGGGAAACUUUGUAAGCAUCAUGUGCAAUGCACACACCCACCUAUUGAUUAAUUGGAACACUAACAAGUUAAGAAACCAUAUCCUAUUAUUGUUUGAUAAAUGUUCCUGAAAAAUGAACAAGCGUCAACCUUCAGAAUUGUUGGGUCCUCAAGAAGAGAUUGCAGAGUUUGAGGGAUUCCGGAGUGAAUAAUAUGCAGAACGUAACAACUACUCAUGUCGCCACAUAUCUGCAUAACAGCAGCCUUCCCAGGUGCCACACCUGAAGAAAGCACCUAUUAUUAUGUAAUGAGCGAUACUAGGGUGCAAUUUCACAAAUAAGGACAGUGAAAUGAAGUACAAAAUCCAAUUAAUUAAGUACGUGACAACCGAAACAAAAGGUCAUGAGGAGUUAUAUGUGCCUUCUUAUACUAAAGAGUAUGCUUAAGUAACAAAAGUAUGACACACAAGAAGUGAUGCCAAAUAGGGAAUAAAUGAUGCAAAGAUCACCUAUAAGAACGGUAUUUAGCGUCCACUAAUUAUUCUUUUUGAGCAUAAAAAAGAAUAAUCUCUCAAUCAAAUAUUUUGGCAAAAAUAAAUAUAGAGAAAAUAAGUCUUCCUAAUCACCAUGAGCUACAUAGGAUUCUUGGUAGAUAUCCUAGUUAAGAUGCAGACGUAAUCACUAAGGUCCAAUGAAUUGUCUGUUUUCUAAAAGCACCUUUGUCAUCAGCACUGGAAACCAAGAAUCUUAGCUAUCAAAUUCUAUACACUCUCAUUCCUCCAAGCAGACGACAAUUGAUAAAGUGACAUGGAUAUUGAAGAUUCAUAUAUCCAGCUCCGACUAGCUUUGGUUGAAGCAUAGUAGUUAUCGUUGUCGUUGUAGACAACAGCAGAUCAAGUAAAUUUCCUUAAAAUCACGUGAUGAACUAUCAAAAUUCAUCAAGUGUCAUAACAAACUAGCAGUCAAAAAAUGACACAUUCCAUUUAACACCGCAGGGAUGGUACUUCAGAAAAAAAUUCACAAGUUAUAACUUACACAUGACAGUCAAAAAAUGACACAUUCCAUUUAACACCGCCUCAAAUGAAGCUUAGUAUAAAUAAAUUUAAAAGCUAGUACACUGAAAGACUGAUAGAACUCAAGAAUUCCCAUCGUAGUUUGCAAAGUUCAUAUAAAAGUCAAACUAUUAACAUUGAACUGACCUUUUCUAAAACUGGGCUUCCACUCAAUGUCAAAUCCAAGAGCAACAUGCCCUUCUUUCCUCUUCUUUUCCUCGACAAAAUUUAAAAGCUCUACUGCAGAUUUCUCCACUUCUUUAGUAGUUCUGCUAUAUAUAACAUGUCCUUUAAAUGAUAUUUCCGGGUAUUGCAUCACUAUCUUAGCUGCUACAUCACAAACAAAAAAUAAAACGAAACUUGGACAUUAAAUCCUUAUUUAAAAUUUAACAACCAUCUUUAAUACACAACAGUAACAACCGUUAUUAAUUUCCCCCAAAUUUAAUAGAAUUUCACCAUGAGAUCUUCAUAAGAUAGGUAAACUUUGGAGCAAUAACCGUAUGCCAAACUGAUUACAAUGUGCUACAAUAGGAAUAACAUUAGUUCGAUAUAAAUCAUCCCAUUAAGGGUUAAAUAGAUUUUUCUAAAGUUUAAACUAUUUCUAUAUAUAGAAAUAUGUCAUUCUUUAUUAAACAUGCUAAAAAUGAAGAGUGUAUAUUCACCGUCAUUGUAAGAAAUUUUGUUACACUGUAUCAGGUCACCCAAAAGAUAUCUACAAAUCCGACAUCUAACAAUUACAGUGUAUAUCAUAUUACAUUCUACUAAAUUUAUACUAACUCAAAUUAGAACAUGAUUUUUUUUUAUUUGCAACCAAAAAUCAUUACUCCAGAAAAACAUUUAACUACAAUGAAAGGGAAUAAAAAAAAGAGAGAGAAAAGCCGUUACCUUGAGUAGAAGAACGAAAGGAAUAACUACACUGAGACCGACUUCUAGUGCAAGAAGACAAAGACGACAUUGAAUUAGUAGCUUCAUUUUGGAAGUUAAAAACAAAAAGCGAUUCCGGCAAUCUCCGGCGACUUUUCCGGCGAUAUUCGUCGCCAUCGCCGGCGGAAGAUGAGUCUUCGGAAUUCUGAAGCCUUUUAGUAGCUGAUUGAAAUGCAACUUCGAUUUCCUGGAGUUCUUCUUCUGUAAAAGGUCGAUCCCAAUCGUUUGAUUCGCUAGAAAUUGGGGUUUCCAUUUUAUAUAUUUAUUGCUAAAAAGAGUACAGAAGAAUUUUCUUUUCAGCUAAAUAGCGGGCAUGUUUGAGCUUUUGAUUUUUAUAUUUCUUAUAAUUACAUUAUCCUCCCUUGUUGUUUUGUUAUGGUUUGACAGACCACCCAAUAUAACUUUAAAAUUACACUUUCCACCCUAUACUCUAGUGUUAAGAAUUUCAAUUUUUUCUUGGGUAUUAGAAUGAGAUAGAUCAAAAUUGAACAAAAUUGGAUGUUAAAGAUUCAUAUAAUCGAGCUUAAUUAGAUUGGGAUUUGCUGUAGUUAUUAUUGUGCACUUACUCUACCUUUGUAUUUUAAAGAAUGAACAUCGAUUUUCACUUACUCGUAAUGUAACUGGAAUUUCCAGCUCAUAAGUUGGACAUUGGAUUCUAUCAAUUAUGAAAGUACUUUCGAAAUUAUAAACACACCGAAAUUGUAGGUAAAGAAUACAAUUGACAAAAGAUUUGCAAUUGACAAUAGAAAGAAAUACAAACAACAUUACAAGUAUAACUCAGUACUAUAAAAAUAAAAAAGUUCACUAUAUACAUAAUCAAUAUUUUGUACCAUAAAUGUUUGAGGCAAAUUUUGACACAUUAGACAAUAUAACCUUCUUCCCUGAAUAGAAAAAACCUAUUCUAACUCUUACAACAACAAUAAUAAUUAUAUUAUAUUUUUCAAUUCUCUGCAAGUUGCGGUCGACUAUAUAAAUCUUCACUAAUCAUCUGCUCCAUUCAAGUUCAUGAUCUCAUACCAAUAUUAUAGUACAAAAUAUAUAUUUAUUAUUGUAUGUCAAAGUAUAUAUGACAUACCUCUUACAUUUGAGACAACAAACAAUUGUUGAAUCACACACAUUAAAUUUUCAAGAAAAAUCACUUAAUGUGGGGUACUAGCUGCAACAAUUUUAAGAAUAUCUAAAGGGAUAUUAAUAAAUUUAACUAAAGCAUUACGUGCAUUAGCAACCUCUGCAAUAUGAUUAUCAGCAUAAUCUUCAACAUCAACAGAAUUAGCAGUUCUCAUUGCCUUAAGACGAGGAUAACAAACUUCAAAAUCUGUUAUGGCAGUUGUAUAGUAUUUAAUCGCAUCGUUAAACGCGCCAUUAACAGUAGAAUCAACAGCGUCAUUAAUUAACUCUAUCGCGGGUAUGAAAUGAUCGUUGCAAUCGCUUAAAGCUUGUUGUGUAUCGGACGAUAAUUGUGCACUAUUAUUCAAAAGUUUCAAUCUCACUGUAAUUGACACAUUUGUAGCCUCUUGUUCGAUUUUUUUGAGUGCCAAAAAUGCUAUUGUUUUUAAAUUGGCUUUUUGAAGAGAAUCAAGGUCUGAUUUAGAUCUAUCUAUUUGAAUCCACGAAAUACAUUCGUUAUCGUUAUUACAUGCUUUGAUAAGAUUUGGUGGAGGAAUUUGUAAAGGUAGAAUUUGAAUUCUUCCUUUGACAAUAGGUAAUUGAAAGGUGAGACUUAGGCAAAGGACAAAGACUAAUGGAAUUAAUUUGACAAGAAAAGAAUUUGACCUCCUUGAAAUUGAAAAGGAGAUCAAGGAGAUCAAAGCCAUCUUAGUUAACUUUUUCUUUCUUUUUUUCUUGUUGUUUUCCUCUCUUUUUUCUUCCUUUUUUCAAAUUUAUUUGAGUAUUAUCAUUAUCUUCUUGUUUUCUCUCAUUUAUACGAAAAAUACUAUUGAUAGUUAAAAAAGAUUGGUAGAGAUAAAUGAUCUCUCUACCACCCAUUAUGAAGUGGUUUGAACUUUUUUGAGGGUCUAAUUUAUUCCAUUUUCUUGUUAUAAAAAUGAACUGAUUAAAAUUGAAGGAUUGUGUUGCAUCCAUGUAUAGUUAGUAUAAUGACCAUUCAUUUUGUUAAGAUUACUUCCUUUAGGAAAAAAAAUGUAAAGAAAAGCUUAUUUUUUCCUAGAAUUAUGCUGAUUAUAGUCUAUCCAAUUGGAUCACGUUGUAUAUAGCGGUAUUUACAUCUUCGCAACAACUAGCAAAAUUACAAAAAGUAAACGAAAUCUGAACAUAGCACAGUCAGACAUAACAUAAAAAUCGGUUUGACGGUGGAUUUAUCUAUAUGGCAUCGAUCAAUUUACCUAUAAAUUCAUCAAAGUAUUCAAUGAAUGAUAGAGUGUUAAUUGAUCUAUAAAUUCAUCGAAGUAUUCAAUGAAUGAUCGAGUGUUUAUUAGGGAGCGAAUGCUUGGGCACCUCAGCGACAGUGAGGCAUGAAUAACUCUGUCCACUAAGGCUUGAACAUAUAAAAAAUAAUCAUUUAGCAUUUUGUCUCUUUUUUGGGUUCAAAAACUUAUCUCCUAUGAUUUUCACCCAUUUCAUUGACCGCUAUGUCAUAAUUCAGAGUUUCCAAUAAAUUGGAGUCUGAGAACUGAAAACAAAAUGUAAUAAGCAGAAUUAUAGGUAGUUGACUAAUUUCUAUGUCUAUAGUCCUGUAACCAAAUGUAACAUCAUUCUACACUUUAACCCUCAAAAUCCCUCAAAAUGUCAUAAGCACCUUACAGACCAUGUGGAUAACAAUCAAAAUAUCACAGAAGAUACCAAGUCAUAUUAUUGAGCUAGCUACGGAAUAAAAGGGCAGCCCAGUGCACUAAGCUCCCGCUAUACACGGGGUCCGGGGAAGAGCCGGACCACAACGGUCUAUCGUACGUAGCCUUACCUUGCAUUUCUACAAUAGGAUGUUUCCAUAAUUCGAACCCGUCCCCUCCUGAUCACAUGACAACAACUUUACCGGAAUAGUAACUUAAAGCUGAACAAGUUCCCCAAGAGGAAAAAAGGAAAACUCUGCUGAUCGCGGAGAAGUUAAUUUAUUUCCCAAAUUCACACCAGUACAAGUAGCAGCCAAAUAAGCAGCAGCAAACUCCUAGUCCAGACGGCUAAGGGGUUAAGAUAAAUAUCGUGAACUUAGAACGAACAUCACGUCUGAUCUAGCAACAAAACCAUAUGAACUACUCAUUCUUCUGGUAUUUCCGCGGCCAAGGAUAGCAGAGAAACACCGUUACUCACUCUCAGCAUGUCAUCAAAAGAAGGAUAUACCUUUCGAACGAGCUAAUAGCAUUUGUGUACUAUAAGAUAUCGAGGUAGAAGAAGCUUCUUAGAACUGGAUAUAUAUCAUGCGUGUCUCCACUAAUAAAUAUUUCCGCAGCAGCAAAGACAACUGUAUGACUUUGUUCUUCAAAGCCUGAGACCAAUAAAAAAACAGUCGCAUAUAAUUCAAGCAAAAGAAGCAAACAUACAAUAAUAGCUUAAAUGAAGAAAAUGGAUAAUAUAACAUGAUAUCAUAAAAGAAUCUUUUCUUUGCCUUUUCCAAGGGUGCUUCUGAAUGCUAAUAGAAGUCAAGCAAUUUAAUAGAAGAGUUGAAGAAUGAAUGAGUUAUAAUGGAGGUAAUGAUGUUGUGCUAAAAUAACAACAUACUUUACUAUUUUCAAAUAUUGUCCAGAUUGCAUGGUAAGAAGGCGUGUGUCGAGAAGAAAAUUAAUACUAACAUAUAGGCAGAUACAGAUCCAAUGGCUUUAAUCUUACAGGUUUUUAGCACUGAAUUCAUUGUACAUUUGAGAAUCUUGGUUCAUAAGUUCAUAUUUAUGUAAUUUUAGUAGUUUUCACAAUACGCUUAUGUUGCGUGUCAAAAAAUACUGGGUUCGGUUGAACCCAUAAAAACUAUGCUACAUCCCCCAGGGUGUAUACACAAAAGAUAGAGCUAAGAAUGUCCACCUAACUCCCGAGCAUCUUUGUCAUUUAACAUAAAGAAAUCAUAUACGAUGAAAGAAUUACUUAACUAUGAGCAUAACAUCAUACAACCUAAUCGUCGUGAAGAGUAAUUGUUCCUAGAGUCCUAAGCAUCAAGCCCAAAGUACAAUAAGACUAUGCAAAGGCUUAUGCAAAAAAACAUAGUAAUAUCUUUGGUUAAAAAAAUAAAGGUGAAAAGAACGAAGUCCAUUUGAAUUCUCAUAUGAGUUGAGUCCUUAGAGAUAAUGAGUAGAUGAAAAUUAAAAGAUCUCCAAAUUGCCCUGCUCCCCCACUUUUAUAGGGCCUCAUUGCAGCAACAAGUCUCAAUCCUGAACAGAAAAUUACAAUGAUAUUUGUGCUUAAUUGUUUUUCAAUUGCUUUAGCUUAACUGAAAUAGCUUUACUAUUCAUUCUAAAUACAAGCUAGCCAUUAAGAAAAUAAUUAUCUGUCGGCAAGUAUUAUGAAAAGUGAUUAUCCAAUAAGCUUAAUAUGUUACAGCUUUUAAAAUAGACGAUGCAAGAGCUAUUAGGAGGCCAUUUUCUGACCGACAAGGAACCUAGUAUGAAACAAGUUUAGGAAAAACACAGAGCAUACGAACCUCAACGUAAUCCAAAAAUCUCUUCCGGAGGAUCAUAUAUAUGCCGAUCAGGAAAAAUCUCCUCAAAGUCUUGCUUAACUCUGUUCCGUAAUAGGGGAUGUGGCAAAAGUCCCUUCAAUAAAAUCCUGAAAGGCAGCUCCUCAGGCGGAUACGGAGACUUUUUCAUAUCCUCGAAAAUGUUCAUAGCAUCUGCAGGAGAUCCGUCUCUCAAGAAACCCCGAAUAACUUCUGUGAAUGUCUGACAAUCGGGAAAUAGAUCUUCCUUUCUCAUGCUCUCCCAUAACUUCAUUGCAUCAUCCAUCUUUCUCCGUCUAGCCAAUGCUAUGAUCAGGUCCUUGUAAAGAUAAACAUCGGGUUGGUACCAGUCCUGUUUCUGAAUAACCCAAAACACCUAUAAAUACAAACAAUUAGUUGUUUGUGCUAAUGCCAUUCCAUAUUCCAACCGAAGCAUAAAAAGCAAAUGCAUAGCUUCUCUCUCUCUCUCUCUCUCUCUCUCUCUCUCUCUCUCUCUCUCUCUCUCUCUCUCUUUCUUCAUAAAGUAAGUAAUUUUAUUCAUAAAAAGAUUUCUCAUAUAGAAGCAGUAAAUCAAAAAGUAAAGAAUCUACAAAAGAAUACGAGUCUCUAUAAUCGAUAACACCUCUUCUUUACAGGCUAGAAACUCAAGGGUGCAGCAAAAAGAAACUAUGUAUGAGAAGCUAUUCCUCAAACAAGGCUCAAAUGAAAAGUGCCUCUUUCACUGUACCGUACAUCAUCAUUAUAGCCCGAACAAAUUCAAUACCUCCCACCACAACCAAGUUUCCACCUGACAAUGUAGGAGGAGAUAACCCACAUCUUUAUAUGAACAUUUGAUCAUAAAGCACAGAGUAGCAUAUGUAAUCCUCUGUUUUUCCCAAAUUCUAAGUUGUCAAGAUCACUUUACUCUUUUUUCUUCAAAAUAGAAGUUCUAUUUACACAUGUCCAUUGCAGCACAGAGCAUUAAAAGAAUUAAGUCUACAUCUACAUAACCUUCAAUUCCAAAUUAACGUAGAAGGACAACUUCACAAUCAAACUUAUCAUAAAGCCACGGAAAACUAAUUAUCCAACUCUAUCCUUUAUGAUCUAAUAUAAGCAACUGCUCCUAUGUCUCGUGACCAUAACCAUCGGCUAUAAACUUGAUCACAGUAAAGUACCAAAAGCACUUUACUGCAGCAUCUGCCUUACAAGUGAAACUGUACAAAUUUUAUCACGUCCAAGUAAAACCGGGAAUCUAGAUGAAUGGUAACAUUACCAUUAGUCAUGAGGAUCCAGAAUAUCACGCAUUAAUUUACCAAAACAAAGACUCAACAACGAAAAGAAAGAUCGAUUCUUUGGGAGCCUUCCUUUCUUCAAACAAACGAAAAGAGAGAGAAUCAGGCCGAUUCCCGAAAUGCCUUUCUAGAUAUUCCUCAGUGUCCCAACUAUCACUACAGCUGGAUGGAGCCUAUAUUCAAUGUUCAACUGAACCCAAUAUUUAUAUGUAUUAAACCAAUAAACUUUCAACAAAUAUUAAGUUCUAAAUCGAUAAUUCAAAAGUACAACAAAGUCCAGUGCUAAGAAACCUUAAAGGUUGAACCUUUCAAGUUUAUUCAAGGAACGUGAGACCAUUUAAACCCUUCCACAAUAACUAGACAUUAAAAGGGUACAAAGAAAGACUACACUUCCUCUAUUACUAAAUAAAGGACAGCCCGGUACACUAAGCUACCGCUAAACACGGGGUCCGGGGAAGGGCCGGACUACAAGGGUCUAUUGUACACAUAACUACCCUGCAUUUCUGUAAGCGGUUGUUUCCACGGCUCGAACCCGUAAACUCCUGGUCACAUAGAGGCAACUUUAUACAACAAUAAAACUACUGAAACAACAACUACUACGUCUAAGUUCCAAACAAAUUGGAGUCAGCUAUAUGAAUCCUCACUUCUCCAUUUAAGCUCAACUCAUGUUAUCAUCAUGCAAAACUACUGAAACAGAAAUGACAAAUAUUUAUAGUAGAACAUAAUAAAAUUUGUGCAAUUCUUGAUUUCCUAUUUCGCUAACUACCUCAUAUGAACAAAGCUAAAAACGCCACAAUAAAUUUGCAGUAAAAAAGCUAACCUUAACAGCAAGAGAGACCUCUUCUUGUCUUUCAAGUUCAUUAAGGACAGAAAUCAAGUCCAUUUUCAAUAGCCUAAGUACAUGUAUUUUAACAAACUUAUCAAGCUUCUCUUCAUCAUCUUUGAAUCUUUUUAACCCAAGUAUCACAAAUAUUGCUUCUUUUCCUAUUAACUUUUUACCCCUCCAAAGUGGUCCUCUUGGUCUUCCAUCAUGGUAAAACCUCACAACCCCUAAGAAACUUCUAGAAAACUGUGGGACCCAUGAUGUGGAACAAGAAGAAGAGGCUAAGUUUGAAGAGAUUUUUGGUAAUGGAGAAACAGCUGAAAGGUGUUUAAGGAGAAAUAAAGAUGGGAUUUUUAGUCUUGAAAUGGUUCUAAUUGACAUUUUUGAAAAAUGGGUAUUGAAGGGGAGAGUGUGUAGGUGAGGGUGGGGAUGGGGGUGGGGGUGGCGGAGACGGUGGUGCUCCGGCGGAAGGGUUUAAGGGGUUGGUAUUAGGGUUGAGAACUUGCCAUUAUUAACUUGAAAUUGGAAAAAGAAUAGUCGGAGCGAAAAAUGAUCAAUUUGCGAAAAAAUGACCAAAUUGCAAAAACGACCAAUUUACGAUGCUGUGACUAUUUUGCAAAAAGGCAAAAUAUACUAUUUGGCUUUUCAAGUGGUCGAGAAUUACAUUGAACUUUCCAAAGCAAAUUACUACUAGUAGUAUAUCAUUUACAUUUUUCUUUUUAAAAAAAAGAUUUUAUCAGAAUUACAUACAUCGCAAAUAGAAAUUUACAUCACUUAUCUUCGAUCUUUUUAAUUGAUAUCCUUCGACGCUGCAGUCUAACUUAUAAUAAUAGCUAAAAAUAACGAAAUUAUACAAAGCGAGUGAAUUGUCAUCAUAACUUUGGAGGCCCAAAACAUUUAUUUUUUCAUAGUAGUGGGUAUUUAUUACUAGUUAUUGUUAUUGCUUUUUUAUUUAUUUUGUAGCUAUUAUUUUUUUAUUUUCUGUUGUUGUUAUUGAUCAUUUGUCUCUUUUCGUGUUCUUAAACCGAGGGUCUAUCAUAAACAACAUCUCUACCAUCUCAGGGUAAAAGUAAAGUCUGCGUACACACUACCCUACUCAAACUCCACUAUUGAAUUUUAUUGGGUUAUUGUUGUUGUCUCCUAUGAUCACUUACAUGUUACAAUUAGGGAUAGUUUAAGGGAAGGCUAGUAAAGCCUUUGUUUUAGGCUCCAGAUUUUGAGGUCCAAAAAAUUUAUGAUUUUUUUCUUAGAUAAUGCUGAAAUUAUAGAAAACAAUAAGAAAACUUUGUUAGAGAAAAAGAAAUAAAAGAUAUAUUUUUUUAGAAUUUAGAAUUAAAUUAUUCAAAUAUUCAUGUAAGCAACUAAAAUUUUUUACAAUAAUAUCUAAAGGUAAUAUAUUGCAAAUACAUAACUAGUAUCUUAUUAACCUAAGUUAAACUUUACUAAUAUAAUAAUAAUAUUAUAUAAAGUUAAAGGUUUCAUGUCUUUUAGUUAAGACCACUAUCCUAUAAAUAAAUAGUGAAAAGAAGAAAGAUAACAUUAAUUAAUUUUAUAUAUAUAUAUAUAUAUAUAUAUAUAUAUAUAUAUAUAUAUAUAUAUAUAAUAAANNNNNNNNNNNNNNNNNNNNNNNNNNNNNNNNNNNNNNNNNNNNNNNNNNNNNNNNNNNNNNNNNNNNNNNNNNNNNNNNNNNNNNNNNNNNNNNNNNNNNNNNNNNNNNNNNNNNNNNNNNNNNNNNNNNNNNNNNNNNNNNNNNNNNNNNNNNNNNNNNNNNNNNNNNNNNNNNNNNNNNNNNNNNNNNNNNNNNNNNNNNNNNNNNNNNNNNNNNNNNNNNNNNNNNNNNNNNGUUGCACUAACAACACAGCUAAGUUUUAGGUUUUUUUGUGUUAUUUUUAUAUUUUUUAUGUGUAAAAUAAAGAUAUUUUGUAAAAAAAAAUAUAAAACUAAAAACAAAUUUAUGGUAAAAAAAACUACAAAACUAAGCGACUCCGAAUAUUUUGAUUUUACGAUAGUUUGUAUUCUCCAAACAACUCACGCAUAUUUAAAUUAGGAAAAAAGGCCAUUAUUGCCCCUGUACUAUUGGAAAUAAUACAUGUUUGUCCUCCGUUUCACUUUACGUUCAAUAUCCACCCUACCGUUAACAAAGUUGAUGUAAUUGCCCAUAACCCUAACGGAUGGUCGAUGUGGCAGCUGACCUACUCCAUUUUUUCCAAGUCAGCUGCCAAGUCAGUUUUCCAUUAAGUUGAAAGUCCCAAAUCUACUCCCAAAUUAGAUUGACCCAAUUUCACUCCCAAAAUUUUGACCCUAACCCAACGUCUUCUUCUUCUCCCUCAAAAGACACUCCAUUGCUGAGAACUUAGGGUUCGACUGAAAUCUUCCCAAAAUUUUUCUUUUCUUCAUUCUCGUCGUAGCUUUAGUUGAUAAAUGUCUCAAGGUAGUUGUUCAUCACAGAUUAGGUGUCGCUGUGGCAUUAUAGCCAACCACUUCACUUCGUCUACUCCAUGUAACCCUGGAAGAAAAUUCUACAAAUGUCUGAGGCCUAAGGUUGUUAAUUUUCAGUUUUCUCUUUCUUUUUUUUAAGUUUGUUGUAAUUAUGAAAUCUACGAGUUUAGAGUUUGUAAUGAUUAGCUAAAUAUUCUUUUUGAAUUAUGUUUGAUAGCCUAGUUCAUGUGGUUUUUGGGAAUGGAAAGAUGAAAUCUUCCCACAAAGUGAUUGGACUAAUAUUAAAGAUAUAACAUCGUCGAUGGAUAAGGUUAAGAUGCAAAGGGACAAAUUGAAGGAAGAAGUAAUUGCCAUGAAGGCUAUACACCAAUAUGAAGUGAAUAAAGUCAUCAAGUUAGAAGAUAAACUUGCAAAGACAAGGAUGAUGCUUAUGAUUUCUUGGGGACUGUUUCUUGAUUUUUUUGUAGCCUAGGUGAUGAAGUGACUUUUUUGCAGAGUCAAGGUUGCUGAUUUUGAGUUAUAUAUAUGUAGCGGACUUUUAGGUCAAUUAAGCCAUAUUGUAGUAGUAGUAUUUGCUAUAGUAGAAUUUGUUGCUUUCCAGCUAUGUUCUGCAGUUUUGAUGAUGAUGUUGUAGUAGUAUUUGUUGGUCAGUUUUUUUCCUUAGUGUAUGAUGAUGUUGGUAUAGUAGUAUUUGUUGUUUUCCCUUACUAGUAUAUGUUCUGUAUAUUUUAUUGUUCUAAAUGGCAUGUUGAAUAACUAAGUCAUUUAAUUGCUUCCAAUCCAAUUCAUUUGACAUAAAAGACAGCAGCAAGUGUAAAACUGAAAAACUUACACUCCAGUCAUAAAUAUGGAUAACUAGAUAACGGAAAACUGAAAUUGAAAAGGGAACAAAAUGGACAACAAUGAACUGAACAUUCACCAACUAUCAACAUUCAUAAAGUGCGUUUAAUAAGACAACUAGAUACCAUAUUAUAACCCCAAAAAGAUGCCAACACCUAGUUAUAACAUGAUACCCAAUUGUCACAACCAAAGAACCACAACCAAAAUAUAAAGUUUACUGUCAUGGCAGUAAUUACCUUUGUUUUAAAAGGCAUUUCUGGGGCAAGCCCCGGGGCGAUGGUGUGGGGCGAAAGUCUCAAGCGGCGUAUGCUCCGCAAUUUGGGGCGUACGCCCGGGCGUUCGGGUCGCAUUUUUUUUAGUAAGGAGUAAGCCCUAAAGACUUUUUCAAAUUAAAAUAAAAUUUGUUGAAUUAGUCCUUCAUAUAAUACCUAAAUUUUCAAAAGUCAGUUUGGUAAUUACUCAAAAGGUUUAAAGAGGAACUCAAAAGUAUUAAAUUUAAAAGUAAAGACCUUUUUUAUUGAUUUAAGCCCUAAUUCAUAGUUUUUUCAAAUUUGUAUCUUAUCCGCUAGUCUGUUAAUAUCUCCCAAAAGCAACAAAUAUUUUUUUUUUUUUACAAAUACAAAGAGAACUACAUUUUUCUUCAUAGCAGCAAAUUCAAAGUUCAAAUUGCAGGUUAAUCAUCCUUUUUAUUCCUCCAUAUAGAAAACUUUAUUCUUUUAGACUCAAAUUACUUGUUCUUGUAAGUAACGUAUAUAUAAUAGAUUGUUUUGAUUAGUUUUUUGUGGGGAUGGAGCACACAUAUAUAUAGUUUUCUUUAAUUUUUAUGUAAUUUUUCCUAUUUAUAAAUAUUAACUGUCAUUAUAUUAUUUUAUAAAAUAUUAAAAAUUAAAUACCUAUGGGGCUUACUCCCCGCGCCUCGGGGCUUACGCCCCGCUGAGGCAUAUAUAAAACGCCCUGCCUUACGCCCACGCCUUUUAAAACACUGGUAAUUACAAUACUUCAAAAAAUUUACAUCAUAAAAGUUCACUAGAAGCAAAUUUCCAUCACUUCUGCUCCUUACCACUACCCUUUUUUGCUUGCAACUUGGUCAACCUUUGUUUGUUCAACUGAUUUCCAGUGAUGGCAGAAUUUUCCAGCCAUAUUAGGCCUUUUGUUGAGAAAGUAAGCUUCGAUGGUUGACUUACACCGCUUGAAUCACUAAUAAAUCCAAUUUGCCUGGUUGUAGCUGGUACGCUUUACUGUCUCAGCUGGAGUCUUGUCCUUGCUUCUGAGAUACUCUUUGGUCUUAUAGCUAUGUCAGGCUCACGUGCAAAGUUAGGGAUCUCAAAAUCUAGGCAUUCAUUGCUAGUUGGAAGCUGUCUUCGAACUGCAGGGGUUGGCAUAAACACAAAGUUGCUGGAUUGACUGUUUUGGCUUGGCUGGGGUGCUGAUAAAUUGAAGUCAUCUUCAGUUGGGAUAUCUGCAGCAGCUGGGGAUAUAGGCUGUUCAUCAUCAGGUUCAUCAACUAAAGUUCUUUAUUUUUUUUCCUGUUUUCCCCUUGUUUUGCCACCCAUUGGCUGUUUUCCUUUAGAGUGUUAUUAUCAGCAUAUACAAUUAUAUGUUAGAACAAGACAGAAAAAAAUAGAAGCAUAAAUUUAUUGUUCAAGAGAUAGAUUACCUCGGCACAUCCCCUAACAUUAUGUCCAGGUUCUCCACAGUUAUUACAUGUCAUUACUCUCCUUUUUCUGGAUUGAGAUCAUUGUCAUUGCCUAUUAAAGGACUCAUUUGUCUCUCUUGUUCUUUUUACUUUUGGCGUGCCGGCUAUUCUUACAAAUUCAUAUGGUUCCGUGUUCUGUGAGGGGUCUAUCUUCCAAAACUUUUCUCCUCUCACAGGUUGUAACUUAUGAGAAUAAGUUUGGAGAUAUGCCUUUUUGAAAAGGUACCAGUGAAUCCCACUUAAAGGGUCAACCUUCUUGUACAGUAGGGCACAGAUUGCAUGAGGACAUGGGAUUCCACAAAGGUCCCAUGUCCUGCAAGUGCAUUAUUUUACCCCCAGAUUUAUAAUGUGCCUAUCACUACCUUCUGUCACUUCAUAACCUUGGUCAGCACUGCCAUUCAUAUGACACUUUUGUGCAAUCCUCAUGAAUUGGUUAUACAAAUUUAGAGUCUUGGGACUGUAUUCAUUUCCCCACCCCACCACUCCAGCUUCAUUAUCAGUCAACAUAUUCAUAACCUUGAUUCUGAUCUUGGCUUGUGUCUGGCUUGCAAUAUCCAUGCAUUGAAGGACUCAGUGAGUUACUAUCCACUGACUGGUUCUUGCAGGUAGUAUCAAAGAAUGCCCUACUCCAGCAGGUAGGUGGACACUUUAACAGAUCUUCAACAACAUCCUUACCAUCAUCAUCUACUUGGCUCAUACUCUUUAACUAAUCUUGGAAUUCCUCUUCAUAGGUACUCAAAGCUGCCCACCAAAGAUAUUUCUUGUAUUCCUCAGACCCCCAUCUCUUGCACCAGUUUGUUUCUAUGUGUCUUACACAGAAUCUGUGGUGUGCUUAGGGAAGAACUCCUGAGAUUGAAUCAAUCAACCCCUGCAUAUAAAGGAAAGAAGAAGAAUUAUAAUCUAUGUAUACAUAUUGGUAAAAUAAUAAAAUAAUGAAGUAAAGUGUUCAUACCUUCUGCAUAUAUGAGAUAAAAGUGAUUCCUUCACCCAUCUUAAGGUCCAGUGACAUUUGUAGAUGACUUAAAAACUAGUUUCGUGUGACUUUUGUUUCUUUAUCCACAAUAUCCCAAGAUAAUGGAUAAAAAUAAUUUGCAGAGUCUUGACCAACUGCCACAAAAAGCUGACCCUUAACUUUCCCUUUCAAAAAAGUUCCAUCCAACCCUAUAAAGGGCUUCAACCCACUCUUAAACCCCAUCUUCAUUGCAUGAAAACAUAUGUACAUCCUUAGGAACCUUUUCUUGCCUUCAGCAAGAGCAUCAUUUGAUAAGUUAACUACUAUAUCACUUCCAGGAUUACUAAACUUCAAUUCAUUAACAUAUGCCACCAACUUAUUAUAUUCAUCAGUAAAACUCCCUUACAGACUCUCCAAAAUCAAUCUCUUUGCCCUCUUACACUUUGCCUCACUAACAUUUAUAUUAAAUGCAGCCUUCAAGCUUGCCCUAAUCUCUCUAACCUUAAUUUUUGGAUCAUCUUGCAACCCUCUCUUAAAGUAUGCAACAAUGGUCUUGGCAUUAACUAUAUGAUUCUCAUAUGCAGGUUCACAAGUGUGCUCAGAAUUUAAGGUCCUGAAUUCAGCCCCACCCUCUGAAGAAUUCCUAGAUAUAUGACAUACAAAAGGGCAUCCAGCUUCACAAAUAUACCUAAGCCUAGUUGGGUCACUUUUAAGUUGCUCUAGCCCAUAACCAUUUGCAAGUGCAUACAUAUUUAUCACUUUCCUAGUUUCAGCAAUAUCUUUGAAUGUCAUGGACCCAUCCAACUCUUUAUAGUUAGUCAAUUUAUCAUUAAUGUCUCUCUUCUUUUGUGUAAAAAGUUUCUCUAGUAUAUCAGAAUCAUAGUCUGAAGAAACAACAUAUUCAUUAUCAUCACAAUUAUCACUUUCAUCACAAUCAGUGGCAGCUUCAAGUUCAUCAGGUUCACCAUGCUCAUUGUGAUGGAUUAUAUUAGGUACACUAAUACUUGGCUCACAUUCUUCUACAGCAAAUAUGUUAAUAACAUUAAACCGGUUGUUCACAAAGUCCAAUGAAGUCCUAAUGCCAUAAUCACCUUCUAUUUCAUAGUAUGCACCAGAAGGACCAUUAAUUAUCAAUUGUUGGACUCCUAUAUACCCCAGGUUAAAAACAUAUCCAUCCACUAAAUCAUUAUAGGAAAGCAAGUCAAAGUCAAAACAUUCCUUGGUGUGUAGAAAUUUUCUUGAGUAUGCCACGAGUGGAUUCUUGACCCACUCUCCACCAUGAUGAAAGACCAAAUCCAGCAGGACCAUUGUUAGUAAACUGCAUAAUAAAGAAUAUACAUAUUUAAGACAAACUAAAAUCAUAUAAGGUAAAAAAUAUAGAAACAGUAUAACAUACACACUAAAACCAGUCAACAUAAACAAACAAAGACUAAUGGAAGGCAGAAUAAAAUAGAAUAAUAGAAGGUACAGAGAUAUAGGCAGAUAAAGGCAGAAUAAAAUAGAAUCAGCCACACAUUGAAGAAGUCAGUCAACCACAAUAAACUAAUAGAUGCAGCCAUGGAUAUGGGGGACCAUACAUUAAAGUAUUAAAGUAACAAAUAAAGUGUCCCCAACCCCACCCUCCAAUAAACAACGCAAAAAAGAACAAAUUAAAGCUAAUACAAAAAAUCUAAUUCACUUAUUUUCUAUAAAUAAAAAAAAAGGAAGUUGGGACCACAAAAUAUUAAAAUUGAAACCCUAAACCACCAAAGGACUUUUCAAUACCAAGAAAGCAUAAACCAGAUAUGAGGCUGAUAUGAUGGAAUGCCCUCAGAGACUUGAUGAUGUUAUGUACACCUAUACCUAUGCAUGAUACGACAUUUAUAUGCACGUGCAUGACAUUAUAAAUGUUUCAGGAUUCACAAAGUUAUUUAGACUUACAUGUGGAAUUCUUUACUCCAUGUUUCAUCUAUGUCUUUUAUGUACUGAUUUUCAUGUCUUACAUACUCAGUACAUUAUUCGUACUGAUGUCCCUAUUUCCCGGAGCCUGCGUUUCAUGCCCGCGGGUGCAGGUAGACAGGCUAACAGUCCCCCUUCUUAGGAUCCUUGAUCAACGAGAUUUGGUGUGCUCCAUUUGAUUCGGAGCUGCUUUGAGUUUUGGUGCGAUGUGUUUGUAUACAUAUAUGGGUAUGACGGGCCCCAGUCCCAUCCAUUAUACAGUUGUACACUCUAUUAGAGGUCUGUAGACAGUCAUGUAUAGUUGAAUAGUAUGUGGCCUUGUCGGCUUCCAGUCUUGGAUAUAUAGUUGUCUAUAGUAGCCUUGUCAGGUCGCCUUACCGUAUUCCGCAUGUAUAUGUAAAUAUGUCUUUUGGAUAUGUUUUCCUCACGUAUGUUAUUCACGUAAUUCAGCAGUUUAUUGAAAGAUGUUAUUCAUGACCUACCCUAAAUUCAUAUUUAUAUCUUAGACGCAUGCUUAGGGGUGUUCGACAUGUAGGACUCGGACACUCGUCAUUGCCCAUCGAUUUAGGUCGUGACAAAAGUGGUAUCAGAGCAGUUAUGUCCUAGGGUUGUCUACAGACCGUAUCUAGUAGAGUCUUAUUUAUGGGUGUGUUGUGCACCACACUUAUAGACAGGAGGCUACAUGAUAUAUAGGAUGUUAUCCUUCUUUCUUAUCUUAGAUCGUGCGAUAUAAGAAUUCAUUUUCUUAACGAUAUGUUAUGUUUUCAACGAUGCCUAAGAAGGCUACAGCCACCCAGAAGGGCAAGUCUGUGGCUGAUGAGACUACUAGUCGAGUGCCACGAGUUACUAGGGCUCGGGAAGAGUCUCAUAGUGAGAUUACAUCUCAGACUUCACAUACCCCGCCCUCUCCAGAGGAGCUCCGAGGGCCACCAGCUCCAGUGCCUUCCCCUAUUCAUCAAGCUCAUCAGCCAGAUGCACAAGGUCAGGAGAUGAGAGAUGUUAUUCAGCUAUUGACUCGAUUAGUAGCCGCACAUGCUUGGCAUCAGGAGGUAGGUAUUGGUCAUGCAAAUAGGUCAAUCAGUGCGAGGGUUCGUGAUUUCAUUAAUUUGGACCCUCCGGUGUUCAUUGGAGCAGAUUCAAACGAAGACCCUCAUGUAUUUAUCGAUAGGAUGCAGAGGACCUUGAGGGUAAUAAAGGCCACUCAAACUGAGUUAGUUGAGCUAGCUUCCUAUAGACUUCAAGAUGUUGCAAUUAAUUGGUACGAGUCUUGGGAGUUGUCCAGAGAUGAGGAUGCCCCUCCAGCAGUAUGGCAAGAGUUUACAGAGGCUUUUCUUCAUCAUUAUAUGCCACUAGAGCUUAGACGGGCCAUAGUUGAUAAGUUCUUGACCCUUUGGCAGGGUAAUAUGAGUGUUCGGGAGUACAACCUUCAGUUUGACUCAUUGGCUAGGUAUGCUCCCACUAUUGUAUCUAAGAUGGAGGAUCGGGUUCACCGGUUCGUGAUGGGGUUGGAGCCGCACCUGCUUAACGACUGUAUGUCGGUCUCAUUUCAGCAAGCAAGGACAUUUAUCGUAUUUAGGCAUACGCUCAGGGUGUAUAGGAGCGUAAGAAGAAGUAGAGGGCCGAUCGUGAGCAUGAUAGGGGCCAGAGUAAGAGAGCGAGAUCUUCGGGUCCUUCUGGUGAGUUUCCAGGUGGUCAGAGAUAACAAUACCUGAGGUAUCCAGCCCAGCCAUCGGCUAGCGCACCCCCUCGGUUUGCCGGUAGGAGAUUUGAUCGUUCCACAUAUUCAGGUCCUAGUCAGAAUUCCAAGGCCUCAAGUUUUCAGUAUAGGGGUGAGUCAAGUCAGAUGAGGUCGCCCUUGCCACAAUGUGCUCAGUGUGGUAAGCAGCAUAUCGGGCAGUGCCGUAUGGGGUUGGGUGUUUGUUAUACUUGAGGUUAUCCAGGCCACAUUAUGAGGGAUUGUCCGAAGAGAGGUGAUGCAAGCAAAGUUCAUCCAACGGGAUCUGUAGCCGGUUCGUCAUUAUCAGUACGCCCCCUGGGGCAAGGUUCACAAGUACUAAUCGGUCGUGGUAGAGGCAGAGGCGAAGCAUAUAGCUCGAGAGGUCCUUAGAACAAUAUUUAUUCAUUAGCAGGUUGACAGGAUCAUGAGUCGUCACUUGAUGUUGUUACAAGUAUAUUAUCAGUCUCCUCAUAUGAUGUAUAUGUAUUGAUUGACCCAGGUUCCAACUUAUCAUAUGUUACUCCGUUGGUGGCUAGUAAGUUUGGAAUAUAACCUGAGUUGGUUAAACCUUUUGAGGUGUCCACACCUGUUGGGGAUCCAGUGAUAGCUAAGCGGGUAUAUAGAGAUUGUAUAGUAGUAGUUCAUAGUCGAUCUAUAGUAGCAGACCUAAUCGAGUUAGAUAUGGUAGAAUUUGAUGUUAUAAUGGGUAUGGAUCAGUUGUCUUCUUGUUAUGCCAAUGUUGAUUGUAGAUCAAAGAUGGUCUGAUUCCAAUUUCAAGGGGAACCUGUUUUGGAAUGGAAAGGUAAUACGGCAUUGCCGAGAUGUAGACUUAUUUCCUAUCUCAAGGCAAGGAAGAUGAUCAGAAAGGGCUAUAUUUAUCACUUAGUUCGGGUACAGGAUAUGAAAGUAGAGUCACCAACCAUUCAAUCUAUCUCUGUGGUUAAUGAAUUUCCCGAUGUUUUUCCCAAUAAGCUUCCGGGUCUUUCGCCAGAACGAGAAAUUGAGUUUGCUAUUGACCUAUUACCAAAUACUCAGCCAAUAUCUAUUCCUCCCUAUAGAAUGGCACCCGCAGAAUUGAGAGAGUUGAAGGAACAACUAAGGGACUUGCUUGAAAAAGGCUUUAUCAGACCAAGUACAUCACCGUAGGGAGUACCUGUGUUAUUUGUGAGGAAGAAAGAUGGUUCCUUGCGGAUGUGUAUUGAUUAUAGACAGUUGAAUAAGGUGACGAUCAAGAAUAAGUACCCGCUCCCGAGGAUUGAUGAUUUAUUUGAUCAGUUGCAAGGUGCCAAGUGUUUCUCGAAGUUAGACUUGAGGUCCGGGUACCAUCAGGUAAGGGUUAAGGAGAAGGAUAUUCCGAAGACAUCAUUCAGGGGCAGAUAUAGGCACUUUGAGUUUCGUGUUAUGUCAUUCGGUUUGACUAAUGCCCCAGCGAUAUUCAUGGACUUGAUGAACCGUGUGUUUAGACCCUUUCAAGAUUUGUUCGUGAUUGUAUUUAUCGAUGAUAUAUUGGUUUAUUCUCGUUCAGAGACUGAGCAUGCAGAUUAUUUGCGUACUGUGCUCAGAGUUCUACAAAAAAGGAAGUUGUAUGCAAAAUUCUCUAAAUGUGAAUUCUGGUUGAAUUUUGUAGCUUUCCUUGGGCAUAUUAUUUCGGGUGAAGGUAUCUGGGUUGAUACCCAAAAGAUUGAAAAGUAAAGACUUGGCCUAGAACCACGACACCGACGGAGGUUCGUAGCUUCCUCGGCUUGACAGAUUAUUAUAGGAGAUUCGUAGAGGAAUUUUCUUCCCUUUCAGCACCAUUGACAAAGUUGACUCAGAAGGGAGCUAAGUUUCAAUGGACCGAUGCUUGUGAAUGAAGUUUCCAGGCAUUGAAGGACAGAUUAACUUCAGUACCAGUUCUAACGCUCCUAGAGGGGACCGAUGGUUAUGCUAUCUAUUGUGACGCUUCGGGCGUUGGAUUGUGUUAUGUAUUGAUACAACAUGGUAAGGUUGUAGCUUUUGCUUCUAGAGAACUAAGAAAGCACGAGAAGAAUUACCCGACCUACGAUUUAGAGUUAGCCGCGGUGAUUCAUGCACUAAAGAUGUGGAGGUACUACUUGUAUGGCAUUCAUGUUGAUAUCUACACGGAUCAUAAGAGCCUUCAGUAUAUUUUCAAGCAAAAGGAAUUGAAUUUACGACAAAGGAGAUGGUUGGAGCUACUGAAAGACUAUGACGUUGAUAUUUUAUACCAUCCAAGGAAGGCGAAUAUAGUAGCCGAUGCCCUCAGCCGUAGAUCUAUAGGUAGCAUGUCAUAUUUACAACUAGAAAAAAAUGGGAUAGCCCAUGACAUUCAUCAGCUAGCUAGUCUUGGAGUUUGAUUAUUGGACUCAAGUGAUACUGGAAUUACUAUUCAGGACACGACAACAUCCUUUUUAGUAAUUGAAGUGAACGAACGCCAGUACGCAAAUCCUGUGUUAGCACAUUAUAGGGAUACAACCCCUCAGAAGGAGAAGACACCAUUUGAGAUUACAGAAGAUGGGGUCCUCAGGUAUCGAGGACGAUUAUGUGUCCCUAAUGUUGCAGGGUUGCGUCGGCAAGUUAUGAGAGAAACUCACUAUUCUCGUUAUUCUAUCUAUCCAGGAGAAACAAAGAUGUAUCAUGAUAUUAGAGAAAUAUAUUGGUGUGACAGAAUGAAAAAGGAUAUAGCGGAGUUUGUUGCUCAGUGCCCUAACUGUCAGCAGGUUAAGAUUAAGCAUCAAAAACCUGGUGGACUAUUUCAGGCUAUAGAGAUCCCGACUUGGAAGUGGGAAGUAAUUAAUAUGGAUUUCAUUGUAGGCUUGCCUCGUACCCAGCAUAAGUUCUAUUCUAUAUGGGUGAUUGUUGAUAGACUUACAAAAUCAACCCAUUUUCUUCCCGUUAUGAUUACAUAUUCCGCAGAGGAUUAUGCAAGGAUUUAUAUUAAGGAGAUAGUUCAACUUCAUGGUGUCCCUAUAUCUAUUAACUCGAAUAGAGGAGCUCAGUUUAUAGCUAAUUUCUGGAGGUCCUUUCAAAAAUGAUUGGGAACUCAUGUAAGUCUUAGUACAAUAUUUCAUCCUCAGACAGACGGACAGGCUGAACGUACUAUUCAGACACUUAAGGAUAUGUUACAGGCUUGUGUGAUAGACUUCAAGGGUAGCUGGGAUGAUCAUUUGCUGCUUAUUGAGUUCGCGUAUAAUAAUAGCUAUCAUACCGGUAUUCAAAUGGCUCCAUAUGAAGCUCUUUACAGACGGAAGUGUAGGUCGCCUAUAAGAUGGUUCGAUGUUGGGGAAACUAAGUUAGUAGGACCAGAGUUGGUACAACAUGCAAUCGAUAAGAUUAAGCUUAUACAGGAAAGGCUAUUAACAGCUCAAAGCCGUCAAAAAUCUUACGCGGAUAAUCGACGACGAUACUUGGAGUUUUAGGCUGAUGAUUGGGUAUUCCUAAAGGUAUCACCAAUGAAAGGCGUUAUGAGGCUCGGUAAGAAAGGAAAACUUAGCCCUCAGUACAUUGGACCAUAUAAGAUCAUACGCAAGGUAGGCCAUGUAGCAUAUGAAUUAGACUUGCCUUCUGACUUGGAGUCUGUACAUCCAGUCUUUCAUGUGUCUAUGCUUCAUAAAUGUAUCGGAGAUCCUUCCAGAAUCGUGUCAGUUGACGAUGUUCAGGUCAUAAAGCAGUUAUCAUAUGAGGAAACUCUCAUUGUUAUACUAGAUAGAUAGGUUCGGAGAUUAAGGACUAAAGAGGUAGCUUCAAUGAAAGUACUUUGGAGAAAUAAUAAUGUGGAAGAAAUGACUUGGGAAGCCGAAGAAGACAUGAAAUCUAGGUAUCCUCACGUGUUUCCUCUUCCAGAGAAGGAUCCGACUGAGACAUCACAGCCUUAAUGUACGAGUAUGGAUUCUUGUGUUAGUUAUUGUCAUUGGUCGUGUAAGGCCAUUGUCGUUUUUGAUGAUUGUGGCAAUAUGUAACAUUAAAUUAUUGAGUUUUCUACAGGAAGGGUAGUAGUAGUACUGUUACAAAGACGACUCUGCCAAAAUUUAUAUAGAUCCUGGGGAGUGAAACAUUCGAGGACGAAUGUUUCUAAGGGAGGAAGGAUGUUACAUUUCGCAUUUUCUACGUUAAAGUUUCUUCAUAAGUUAAUCGACAUAGACUCGGGAAUGAGAUUAUUUUUUAUGUUAUAAGUAUUAUGCUACUUAUAAUAAGUGAUAAGUAAAUUCGUGAAGGUUAGAGGGUAAACGAGUGGAAGAAAAUGAGUUUCGUUGAAGUUUGACAUUUUGUGGUAAAAUACGGUCCAAGCUAUAAUACCCCGUAUUUAUGGACUAGUGUCAUACAAGGUACCACAUGACCAUGAUAGUAAGGUAUAUAAAGUGUGUUAAAAGUGAUUAGUAUUUUAAGUAAUUUGAGAUAAUUCUUAAUUAUGUGGGUAAUUGAUUAAUUAUUGGUUAGUGGGAGAUUAACAAGUUAACAAAUCAAUUGGAAAAUUUGGUGGAUAAGUUUGGUAACGUGGCAGCAAGGGGCUAUGUAGCCAUGACUCUUGAUUCAUGAAGAUUAGGUGGCACAUUUAAGGGAUCUUUGGGCAAAACUAAGCCACAAAAGUGGGGCCCACAACCUAUAACUUUAAGAGACAUUCUUAUCUUAUUGAAGUGUGAUGCUAACAUUUGCUAAGUAACAGAUCUUCUUCAGCAAAUUCAUACGAGAUUAUGUAAUAGCAGCGUGAGAUGCAAUUCUAAGAGAACACGGUAUAAUCUUUCUCAAGAAUAUCAUAUGGAUUUUUCCCUACUUCGAUCCGCCAUUACAUAUUUUUCGCAAAAAAACAUAGGUUAAAGGGAUUGUUAAGAGAAUCGGCUCAGGUAUGUUAAGGCUACCCCUUCUUUCUAUUUGGCAUAAUUCAUAUAAUACAAACGAAACGAGCAAACACACAGAUUUCAUAAAUGACUCUAUUCAUAGAAGUACUAGGGGUGUCUAUGUUCUUCAUUCCCCAUGUGACUUUUUAUUAUAUCUUAUGUUCAUGAGUCUCAGAAAAAUACGUAGUUGAUAAAGUUUAUCCGAAAGGCAUAUUGAUCUUAUAAUAUUUCGAGAAAUCUUAUUAACGUAUUUCUUAUGCAUUUCAUUCAUUUAUACAUGUACAUUGACCCAUGACCAGAUGGCGUUAUAUACACAUAUAUUAUAUGUAUAUGGGAUAUGGGAAAAGGUUACGGCGUUAUAUACACACCACCACCUGAUCAGCUGAUAUAUGUUAAUGAUUUUGCUCACAAUGGCUGGGAUGAUAUGAUGGGAUACCCUCAGAGGCUUGAUGAUGUUAUGUACACCUAUACCUAUGCAUGAUACGACAUUUAUACGCACGUGCAUGGCAUUAUAAAUAUUUCAGGAUUCACAAAGUUAUUUAGACUUACAUAUGGAAUUAUGUACUCCAUAUUUCAUCUAUGUCUUUUAUGUACUAAUUUUCAUGCCUUACAUACUUAGUAUAUUAUUCGUACUGACACCCCUAUUUCCCGGAGCCUGCGUUUCAUGCCUGCAGGUGCAGCUAGACAGGCUGACGGUCCCCCUUCUUAGGAUCUUUGAUCAGCGAGAGUUGGUGUGCUCCAUUUGAUCCGGAGCUGUUUUGAGUUUUGGUACGACGUGUUUGUAUACAUAUAUGGGUAUGACGGGGCCCAGCCCCGUCCGUUAUACAGUUGUACAAUCUAUUAGAGGUCUGUAGACGGUCAUCUAUAGUUGAAUAGUAUGUGGCCUUGUCGACUUCCAGUCUUGGAUAUAUAGUUGUCUAUAGUAUCCUUGCCGGCUCGCCUUUCCGUAUUCCGCAUGUAUAUGUAUAUAUGUCUUUUAGACAUGUUUUCCUCACAUAUAUUAUUCACGUAAUUCAGCAUUUUAUUGACAGAUGUUAUUCAUGACCUACCAUAAAUUCAUAUUUAUAUCUUAGACGCAUGCUUAGGGGUGUUCGACAAGUAGAACUCGAACAUUCGUCAUUGCCCAUAGGUUUGGGUCGUGACAGAGGCACCUGCAAACAAAAAGAACAAAAUUAGGGUUUAAUAAUGUAAAACUAUAUGCAAGUGAAUAUAAACGCAAAACACACACCUACCAGCUUGAAAUUAUCGACAAAGAAAGGGAGAAGUGAAAACCCUAACCAACCAAGAACUAUUCUAAAAACCCUAACUUCAAUAAACAAUAAAUUAGAAACCCUAUAACAAUUACACUUUGGUUACACACACCUAUCAGCUUGAAAUAAUCGAUAAAGAAAGGGGGAACUGGAAUCCCUAACCAACCAAGAACAAAUCUGAAAGGGAUUCGAAACCUUAGUAAAACUUUACUUCAGUUAUAUACAAGAAAGAGAUAAAACUAACAGAAACAUCAAGUUUUUGGGAAUAAGUUCUUACCUUUGCUUGAAAUCGGCACUGGAUGCAAGGAUUCUGACGGCUUUGGUUCUCUCGUUUUCUUUCAAGUACUAGAAGGUUCGACCAAAUGAAAGCCUCUAGUCUUUUUACACGAGUUAUUUCUAUUUAUUUAGUGGGCAAACGGUUACAUGUUACGGGUCAAGAUUUUGGGAGUGAAAUUGGGUCAAUCUAAUUUGGGGUCGACUUGGGGCUUUUAACUUAAUGUAAAGCUAACUUGGCAACUGACUUGGAAAAAAUGGAGUGGGUCAGCUGCCACAUCGACUAUCCGUUAGGGUUAGGGGCAAUUAUAUCAACUUUGUUAACAGUAGGGUGGGUAUUGAACAUAAAGUGAAACGGAGGACAAACGUGUAUUAUUUCCAAUAGUUAGGGGCAACAGUGACCUUUUCCCUUUUUAAUUAUACAAAUAUGAUAAAAACUAAUUUGUGAUGUUAUUGUUAUAGUAGAAGAAUCUUUGGUUACUUUAAUGUGAUAAAAUAAUAUAGCGUGUUCACUGUGAUAGUUACUAAAGCUCAAUAACUAUUGAACGGAUUAAUUCAAAGUUUAUUGGUAGAAAGGACUGCUAUUUUCCCCCUCAUUUGCGUCCAAGAAAAGUGUUUGUAUUAAGAGAUAUGGUUCAAUCAAAUUUAGUAGAUUUAGCUCAAAUUUUAUAUUUAUCUUAAAAAAUUUAGUCAAUAUAUCUUAAAGGUAAAAAUUAUAAAUUUAUAGUAAUUAAUAACUUGAAAAUAUAAAAAUUCUGAAUUCAUAAUCUUUAAGUCCUCACUCCGCCUUUAUGCCUAUCUAUUUGUUAAUAUUAGUGGAGUACAUAUUAUACUUAGAUGGAUACUUUGUGGUCAUUUUUAUUUUUUGAGUAGCUUUAAGAAAUUUCACAAAGAAAUCUCUCAAGUCGAAUAGGAGAAGAUCCAAUCGAAGCAAAGGUUGGGUCUGUUCUGUGAGCAUUUGACUCUUCUCGACCCUGAGGCCGUAGCAAAUAUGAUAUAAGAGAUCCGGAAUCACAUUCGCAGUUUGAAAGAGAGAAAGCAACAAUAUAUUGAGCAAAGUUUCAUCUCAAUUUUUUGACAUGUAAAUUGUUAAUCAUCAUUAUCGAUUUAAAAUCCUCCUAGUUUAAUUUACAGCCAAUGUUUUGCAAAUUGUUUCUACUUUAAGUUGAUUUUAAUAUUUUACAUGCAACAAAAUAAAAUGCUCAAAAAAUAGAAAAAAAUAUAUUACUAUAUUAUUUGAUCAUUGUCAUUUGUAUGAAUGACAUGAUGCUGACACAAUCCUUUUGUCAUCAUUAGUCAAACCAGUAGUCAAACUAUUAGUCAAAUGUUUUCUUUCAAGACUCCAAAACUAGAAAAGAAUGAAUUAAUUACUAGUGUUUGGUGGUAUCUAUAGAUUAGAUGUAAUUGAUUGAAAUUCUCAUAAUAUCUACUCAUAAAAUUGCAAAAUAUAUCUCCUUUAUAAAAGGAGGAAUGAUUAUAUAAGAAGUCAAACUCUAGCAAAGUUGAAUACUAGUUUCUUAUACGCUAUGGAUUAUUCACAAAUCAAGACUAUUUUCUUGCUAUUCAUUUUCUUCUUUUGCUUUCCACAAGCAAAAGGGAAUAUCUUCAAAGGGAAGAAAUAUACAGUUGCUAUACAUAAUUUCCUCCCAAAUGAUAACCCACCGUUAUAUUUUCAUUGUGCAUCUGGAGACGACGAUUUAGGAUACCAUUCACUUGCUGCGCUUGGUCAAUUCUCUUGGUCAUUUCGUCCUAAUAUGUGGCUUUGGGCUAGAACUAUAUUCUUUUGUCAUUUUUGGUGGGGUUCUAAGGACAAAGCUUUUGUGGUAUAUAAUGAUUUUGAUUUUUGUGUUCAUAGUGCAAAUGUUCCAAGGNCAACUUUCCAAAAACAACUUAUUGUCAAUGGACUGUGGAAACGGAUGGUAUUUAUUUGAGUAACGGUCAAGGUGUUGGUUACAGAUAUGUUGAUUGGUGAGAGAUAAUAGUUUAUCUCAUAAUAUGUAACUUUUCUUUCAUUUGACCAAGAAAUAUAUAUAUAUAUGUAAUAGUUAACCUUAACGAGAAGCUUUUAUUAAAAUUAGAAUGUUGCAUGUGUGACUUUAUACUUGUUGAUGGUGUCAAUAUUCCAAUACUUGACAAGUUAUUACAAAAGUAAUUAAGCGUAUAGUAAUUUGAAUCAGUCGAAACAAUAGUCUUUUGAAAUCAGGAUUUUUUUGUUCUUCCAACAAAUUACAGACUCCAACAACUGCUAAAGUCGAUAUGAUAAUUUUUACCGAAAGUGUCAAGCUGAUCAACAACAACAACAACUAUAGCUCAAUGUUAUUGCAAGUUAAAGUCGAAUAUAUGAAGCUUCAUAUAUUGUCCAUGUCCCUCCAUUUAAACGUAAAAGUAUGCCAAUCAUUCUGGAAAAAAAAUAGUUAUUGUUUGCAUUAACUUGCAUAUAAGAAAUGAGAAAUGAAACAACAUACAUCUCUUGGUAUUUCUUCUGGACCUGAGGUAACCAAAGGUUUACUAGUAGAGACGGAGCCAGAAUUAUGAGUUCGGGAUUCUAGUCCGUUUAAGUUACUGAGUUCUUAAUUAAUUUAAUUUAUACAUAUUUAAUGAAUAUAUUAAGACAAAUAUAGGGUUUGGGCACAAGCUAUUGGGUUCGGUCGAACCCGCAAGACCUAUGCUAGAUCAGCAACUAGAACCUCCCUGCAAGCUAAGACAAUAUCCAUACUACAAACUAGCCUAUAAUACAAACUGCUGUAAUAAAUUAUUACUACUCUUUUUUUUAAAAGUAAAUUGAAUUAACUUGGAAAUUUUUUUCCCAUCAAAUUAAAGUAGAAACUAUGAUAACAACAAGAACAGCAGUCAAAUGUACAGAGUGUGCACUUUAUUCCUUAUAUUUCAUCUCAGACAUCUUGAGACCUCAGAGCAUUUGAGUUCUUUAAUUCCUUGUUGUUAAUAAGACCUUUGUUGAAGUCCGGUUCAAAAGUUUCCGCUUAUUCUUUUUGGAUGUAUAAGGAGGUGAUGGGGCACUUGCGGUAGAAGACAUUACUAUACGUUAGAUCCCUCGAGCUCAACUGGGGCAGGGGCGGAUGUAGCAUUCUGAUACCAGUGUUUACUCAAUAGUUUUUUGGUGCAAAACAUAAAUUUAUGCGUAAAAAUACACUAAAAUUACAACAAAUAAUAUAUAUGUGCAUUCAAUGUUAAAAAACUUAAAAAUUGAUCCCAUAAAGUUUAAAUCUUGAAUCAGUUGUUGUCUGUGGUGGUGCUAGUGACUAAGCACAAUACUCAAAGGGAUCAGCAGCUCCUAUAUCUAAAUAAUGAGAUUCAGCAUGUUAGACAGAACCACAUCAACAUCAAUGCAAGAUUCAACAAUGUUAGCUUUAAAUAAGUGUGCACAUGUUCGUUAAUACUGGUAGAAAUCCACCGACAUGAUUCUAACGUCGAUUAACAAGGAUAUAUGAGACUUUGGAAUCAUUGAUGUUGAUAUUGCAACUAUAUCGAUAAGUGAGGCUUGCUCAGUUGGUAAAAGUAACUUCACUCACGACCGUUAGGUCCUGGGGUCGAGUAACGCUGGAGGGGAAGUGUGAAAAUACUAUAUAUCCUCGUAAUUUGGGAUGGUUUAAAAAGAAAAAAAAACUAUAUCCAGCUAUUGAAAGCAUUGUAUUCUUGUAAAAAAUUGGACAAAAGCACAUAUGCAAUUUAGCAAUAUUCCUGUAUCACUGAGCUUUGUGUAAAACUGGAAACAGACUUGACAAAUCUGACCUCUUUAAUAUUGUGUUACAAGACCAAGAUUUCACCUUUACCAAGAAAAAUUAAAAAUGUAAGAAUGAGAUUAUGAAAUGCGGCCGCAUAACUGGCCGCGAAAUAGCCUUUAAGAUCGAGCUUCUCAUGUUCCACUCUGCGGAGGAUCUGCCGUCCGUGGAGCAAUUUUUCGGUCGUAUAAUGAACCACAGAAACGUCAUGUUCUGCAAAAAUUUUUCACCAACUCCGCAACGUAUUGCACAACUCAAAAAUUAAGCUCGCCGGGAAAUUAUCUACAACCUUUCAACACGUUAGCCUAACUCGGUACCAUAAAACCUCAAAUUGGGGCCUUACAUCUCUCAAAUGACAAAUCAUUCCCUUGAUAUUUCUCUAUUUUCUCGAUCCAUAAAAGUAUUAUUAUGACUAAAAAGGUCCAUACACAACUUUAAAAGGCACUAAAGCAUAAACUCAAGGACCAAGAAAGCACAAAGGAAAAAAGAAAACAAAAAAGGAACAAUCUUGCAUCUUAAGGGCAAAACAUUUUAUCACUUCUAAAACACUAUGAUCUACCAAAUAUCAAAUAUGCAAAUUAAAAGGAUCAUAUACCAAUUUCUCUCUAUGGUAGCUAAGAAAAUCUAAUGAAAACACUAACAAUACAUAAGUUUAAAAAUUCUAAUAAAUACAACAACCAAACUAUAACAACUUAGUGACUUACACAAAAUGGAAUCAGUGAAAAGGAUUUUCAAAAUUAUAAUGUUGCCACUUGAUUCAACUGUUUGCUGACCACUAAUCAGUUAGCCCUCCAUUUUGAGUUGACGAAUUAAAAAUAUGUUUUCAUGAUGUUAACAUGUCAUCGUUUUAGUUGGUAACACUUCCUCUGAUAAAAUAAUAAAGUAACAUGUCUUAUUUUUAAAUGUACAAAUCUCAAAUUUUAAGUAGGUAUAUCUAUGAUGCGCUUUGGAGGCUUUAUUUUAAGCUAACUAUAUGAUUUGUUUCGACAUCUUAAAUGAGGGAACUAUACAAAAUACCUACUUGGGCCUAUUAUAUUACCCGUUUCUAUCCAUCUUUAAAAUAAUUACAUAAAAUACCUAUACGACCAAAAUAAAUUACCCGCCCACCCAAACUCCACUUAAGCCGCGAGAUCCAAUAGUUGAGAUUCUUCUGUUUUGGCAAUCAAGCACGAGAUAUGAAUUUAGCAAACUUCUUUUUCUCUAUGGCAUAUUAUAUCCACCUACAGGUCGUACGACAAUUGAUCUCUAUUUUAGCAUUGAUGAGUUUUUCUUGAACAUAAAUAAUAUUCAAUUAACAUACAAAUCUCUCAAAUAGGAUUUUUUUCUUUUAUUGUCUUCUCAAAUAUAAAUAAACAUUUUUCUUCUAUCUUUCUCAUUUCAUAAUAGGAUUUAUGUGUCCAUUGAAUAUUUUUUAUUAAUUUAUUCUCCAUUUCAAAAUGGUAUAUAGUAUAUUAUUAUAACAUAUCUAAAUUUUAGUAUAAUCGAUGACGUACAAAAUUGAGUUAAUUAGAUUAUGUGACAACUAAUAUUAAUUCAGUUUAAUAAUUGAAUUAAAAAAAAAAUUAAACUCUUUGCGUAUAACUGUAUACCCUGUUGGUAUAUCUUUUUUUUUUUUACCCUUCCCAAAUUAAGAAGAUCUAUAGUGUUUCCACACUUCCCCUCCAGCGUGACUCGAACCCUGGACCUAACGGCCGUAGAUGGAGGUAUCAUAUACUAUACUGGUAUCAUAUGUUAGUUGGAACCUUUUUUGGUUGUAUUAGCUACAUUUAAUUGGUACACUGUUUGAUUUUUCUUUAGUAAUAGUAAAAUAGUACAAUAUCUUGAUUUUUUUAAUUUUCCUUUAUGCAUGUGUAUUAUGUAAUCAUUUUGAUUUUUUCUUUAUGCGUUUGUUUUAUAUAAUAGUAUUAUAGUACAAUAUCUUAAAAUAUAUUAUUAUAUUAAUAUGUGGUACACUAUUUUUUUAUUUCUCUUUAUGCAUGUGUAUUAUGUAAUAGCAGUAUAGUCAUAUAUAGUUGCCUGGAAUUAAUUGGUAGAACUGUAUACCCUAUUUGUAUAAUUAUAUGUCAUAGUGGUAUCAUAUGGUAGUUGAAAUAUUUUUUUAUUGUUUUGGCUGCAUUUUUAAGUGAAUUCUAUUCUGAAAUGGUUUAUAUGAUCAUGUUUUGUUGUGUUGGAUUUUCUUGUACGUAUGGACAUAGAUUUUGUGUAUUAUGUAAUAGUUUUUAUAGUUAUAUGCAGUUGUUGGAACGACCCCUUACAACUAUAUACCUUAUUAGUAUAGCUAUAUACUAUAUUGGUAGCAUAUGAUAGUUGAAUCCCUUUUUUUGGUUGUAUUAGCUGCAUUUAAUUAGUACACUAUUUGAUUUUCUUUUAAUAAUAGUAAUAUAGUACAAUAUCUUAAAAUACUUUAUUAUAUUAAUAUGUGGUACACUAUUUUUUAUUUUUCUCUAUAUGCAUGUGUGUUAUGUAAUAGUAGUAUAGUCAUAUAGUUGCCGAGAAUUAACAAGUAAAAUUGUAUACCAUGUUGGUAUAGUUAUAUGCCAUAUUGGUAUCAUAUGGUAGUUUGAACAUUUUUUUGUUGUUUUAACUGCAUUUUCAAGUGAAUUCUAUUCUGAAAUUAUUUAUAUGAACAUGAUUUGCAGUGCUGGAAUUUUUUUGUGCCGAUGGACAUAGAUUAUGUGUAUUAUGUAAUAAUUUUUAUAGGUAUAGGCAACUGUUAGAACGACCACAUACUACUAUAUACCAUGUUAGUAUACGGAAUGAGCAAGUUGCUUUGCGAAUAUUUAGGUUGCAAUGUGAGAAUGUAAUUUUCUCAUACUUUUAUUGCAUCAUUUAAUAUUUUGGUACAAUAGUAUAGUCGGAGAUAGUUGUAGCAAUAUUCUAGAGCAAUCAUAUACUCUGUUGGUAUAUAUGUAUACCAUAUUGGUAUCAUAUGGUACUAGAAAUCUUUUUUGCUACUUAUAUUUUUAUUGUAUUUUUCAAUAUUUUAUUAUCAUUUCUAAUCUAACUAGUAUAUAUGGAGAUUUGGCGGCCGUAGAUUAUAUUUUCUUGCUCCAUAAUUGGUUGUGUUACUGCUAAUGGUAGAGUGAGUAUUGAUCUUUAUCGGGAAGGAGAUCAAGGUUUGCAUGGCAAUUACGUGGAAUUAGAAAAGGAACAAAAAAUAAAGAAAAAAAAUAAAGAAAGAGUCAAAUUUGAGUGUAAAAUAAGUUGUGGUAAAAACAACAAUAAUACGCUCUGGACAAAAAUAAAUGAAUAAAAGAGAAAAAAGAAAAAAAGAGAGAAGAAAACGAGAAAAAAAGAGGAGAAAAGAAAGAAAAAAGGAAAAAAGAAAAGAAGCAUAGAAAUAAAAAAGAAUUGGAGAAAAAAGAAAAAAUUUCCCACAAAAACUAUUAUGGGUAUGAAAUGUAAUUAGUUUGAUGGGUAGAAAAAUAAAUGGGUAAAUAAGGAUAAAUAGUUUUAUUUUUAUGGGUAAAUAUAUCAUCCACCCCUCUUAAAUUACCAUAAGAAAUUUGAAAAGCCUCGAAAUAUAAAGGGAUAAUACAUAAUUACCAUCAUGAAAUUGUUUCAUUUUAUUAGUUGUACCCUUAUAUUUUACGGGUUGUCGUCAAAUCAGUGUUAUUGUCCCCUUUCUUGACCAACACCAGUUUCAACAAAGAAAGUGAUUUACACGCACCAAUUCUUGCCUGACACAUAUCAAAAUACAAAAAAAAAAAUAUAUUAAAAAGGAAAAAGACCUACUUUUUCAUACCCACCCUCCCAAAAAAACGUUCAGAUCCCUUGUUCUUAUCCCCAGCCCAUAAUCCCAUAACCAUCUCCGUUUCUUAAAAAUAAUCAUGCACCCUUUGAAUGAGAAAAGAAUAUCAACGUUCAAUUAGACAAAUAAAGAAAAUAUUUGAACUCAUUCAACAACAUAUCCUGAUGGAAAAGAAACUUCCCAUAAUUAUAUUCUCCAAUUAGAAUAAGGGAUUCAAUUAAUCAAGGAGAAAAAGAAAUUUCGUCCAUGGUCGAUUUCAAUGAUGAUAACAUAAGGAUUUCUAUUAAUUGCAUUUGAGUUGGCAUUUCAGUUCUUCUUCAUUGCUGCUUGUAAAAUUUAUUAAGUACUUUAUCUGGCUAAAAUAUAAAAUAUGAUAGUCUUGAAAAGUGAGUAUGGUCCAUAAAUUCAACUGGGUUAUUUGAUUUUGACCCAUUGAGGGAGAAGAAAGAAGGAGAAGAUUGCAUUUUUUUUUUCCUUUUUGAAGCUUUGCUUCAAAGUAAAGGUGUCAAAGGAGUGGUCCGAUUCGGUCUGAGUUGACUAAAAAAGUGACCGACAGGUCACCGAUCCGGGCCGGUUACCAGUUUUUUCAAAUCGGGUUUAACAGGUCCGGGCCCAUCCGGUGAAAUAUUGAACUAGCAUGGUUACAGGCCUAAGGGGCAGGGCCGGACCAUUUUUUUUUUUUUGUAUUUUGUAUAACUAUCGUAAUUUAUAUUAAUAUAAAAUAAAAAUAUAAAACAAAAAAAUAAUCUUAUAAAAAAGUGUUUGAAUAAAGGAUGUAAAGGCUUUAAAAUCCUUAUAUUUGAAUAUUUCAUUAAGAAUUUAAGAUAAUAGAAUACAAUGAAGAUGGAAAAACUUAUAAUUUUCAAGUUUUUUUUUUAUUUCAAACUUGUAAAUUAAAGUUUACAUUUAAUAAUAACUAAAUUAACGAAAAAAGUAAAUUCAAAGUUAAUUAUUAAAUAUAAGAUUAUAAAUUUAGAACUCCAAAGGUUUUGCAUUGCCUUAGUAAGUUCUUCAUAAUCAAUAUGAACUUCUUGGCCAUCUUCUCGAGUAUUAAAUUCAAAGGCUUUCAUAGUUUUAUUUCAAAUUUUCAUUGCAUAAUAAUACUUCAAAUUAAUCUAACAAACUAAAACAAUAAGCAUAAAUACGUCUAAUAAUUUUAAAAUAACACAAAUUGUCUCAAAUCAACUUAAAAUCUUAAAUAUGAAUUUCUUGAGGACGCUCAACACAACUCUUCAUAUGCCUCCUUAAACAGCUUGUGCCAUCCCACUUUCGACGAAGAUUUAAGACUCGACCACAGUUCUUGCACUUUACUUUGUGAACUUCUUAAUUUUUUUUAUCACCUCAAAGUCCAUGAUCGGAUUUGACCGGUCCGAUUAACUGGUAAUGAAAAUGUAAACGUUCCAACCCCCUAACCCCCCAAACCCAACCCUACCCGGCCCCCUACCACCGAUCUGGGUCAAUACCGGUCUGGGCCGGUCCGAAAACAGGUCAAACCGGCCCGUUAAACACCCAUACUUCAAAGCCAUCAGUAGCUCGGGUUUUUUUGGGGUUGAAGCUUCGGUGAACUUUCUUUUGUGUGAAUUUUGGUGGGGGGGGGGGGUGGUAAUGGGAUAUAGAGGUGGUGAAGUGGUGGAGGGAGGUGGGAUCAUGUUAAUGAAGAAGAAUGUUGAAGAGAAAAAAAAAAGGGAAAAAUAAUUAAAUAAUAAUAAUAUAAAAUAAAAGAAAAGUAACUUUAAUAACAAAAUCUUACAAAAAAUCAAUUUUAUAUUUUCUUUUUGAUUCUCACUCUCUUUAAGAAAGUAAUAAAAAGAGUGAUAUACAAUUUAUAUGCCACGUGGGCUUGGAAAGGGGUAAUAAUAUCGAUUCGAAUUAUUGAGGAGGGUCAUACGACUCCCGUAAAGUAUAAGGGUGCAACGGGUAAAAUAAAAUAACUCUAGGGGUAAUUAUAUAUUAUCCCAAACAUAAAUACACUAUGGUAAAACAAGGAAGGCAUAGAUUCUUUGGUAGGGGUGUUCAUGAUUAGGUAUGGCUCUGUUUGGGUAUGUUUUUUCCUAAAAAGAAACCAAACCAAGUAAGUUGGUUCUUCAAAUAUUGGAACCAAACCAAACCAAUUAAGUCCAUUUUUUAUCGAUUCGAUUUUUGUCGGCUUUUGUCGAUUUUUCGGUUUUUUAUCAAAUUUUUUUCUUAAAUAUGAGACAUAUACCACCAAAUGCAUAUUUUGGCAACUACAUUUUCAACGUAACACUAUCAAACUAAUUGUUGUUUGAGAAAUCUAUAAUUUACCAAGAUAUAUGAAAUAGUGAUGAAUAAUUUAAUACUCAAUAAAAAAUCGAUUAUUUUUAACGUGAAAUAAAUUAUUGUACUUAGCAAAAGAAAACUAUCAAUCAAACUAGAAUGUAAAGACAAAGAAUUAGAUUAUUAUAAUAGCAAAUAACUAGACUUCAAAUACAAACGACUAAUAUGUACCAUAAAAUUUAGAAACUUUAUAUAUAUACAUAUAUNAAUUUAAGAAUUUAAUUAUUCUUCCAGAAAUUUAGAUAAACCCAAAGGAACUAAUAUGUUGUUUUACUUUUUUUACGUAAAAACAACGUUGAUUGUGCUCUAUAACUAAAAAAAAUACUUUUUUUUUGUUGAAAAAGAAAGUACUAUUUCUACAACAUGAAAAUAUUCUUUUUGUUGCAAUAAAAGAAACUACAUUUUACUAAGUACGUCAUUUUGUUGAAAUGAAAAAAAAUAUUUUUUCUACAUCAUGAAAAGAAAGCAUUUUUUUGUUAAAAUGAAAAAAAAUACUUUUUUUUAUCGUGAAAUGAAAAUGCUCAAUUGUUGAAAUGAAAAAAUAAUAAUUUAUCUAUAACAUGAAAAGAAAGUACUAUUAGGGUGGGAUGAGGGUGGAUAGGGGUGAGGGUGGGUUGGGGUUGGAGUGGGGUGGGGUGUGGGGUGGUUGGUGGGGAUGAGGAAUGAGGGGAAAAUUGGAAAAGAGUUUUGAAAAAUAUUUUUCAAACAUAUUUUACUUCCUACCAAACACACCAUAUCUAUGGUCAUUUUCAUUCCUACCAACAAUCUCAACCUAUAGUGUAGAAGUCUUACCUCAAAUUUGUCAGUUUUAUAUUAUUGGUUGAGGAAAAGAAAAUGUUAAAUUUAAGUUUAGAAGUUGUUGUACAUAAUUUACAUAGACAUUAGCACGUUUGCGGCUCUUUACAAAACACUUUACUAACCCAAAAGUUCAACUUAUUCCUAGACUUUAAGAAAAUUCCAUUUCUUUGACACGAUUCCUAUUUCUUAUCUUAGUAAGGUUUCAAUAUCAAGUGGUUGUUGCCAUUAGAUAGAAAAAUGAGAUGGAAAAAUUACACUUGACACAACUUAAGUGUCUUCUACUUUUUAAAUUAUUCUGGUUUUGGAACCUAUUUACUCAAUUAAUCUGAUGAAUUUGUACGGCAGAAAACGUAUUAUAUUGACUAAUUUGAAUUCGUGUUGUAUAAAAUUUAUUUGAUGGGAUUUUAGUGCCUCUUUCCAAAAUGAAUUGAUCAAUUUUUGGUACUCAAAUCCGAGGCUUCUAAUAAGUGUCAGAUUCACAUGGGCACAUGUGGGUGCUUGACAAUAUUUGGUAAACUAGUGAAUUACCCGAAAAAGAUAUUAGGGUAAACAAAAUUACAUUCAUAGUAACAAUAUUCUUAAAAAUGAGAAAACAACACGAAGAUUUCUACUAAUAAUAAAAAAAAGAUUUCAAAGGAACUAACCUAGCUUAAAAAAGAUCUCUCUGAGUAACUUGUCACCUUUCUAUCAUAUUACUGUGAAUAUAUAAUGAGAAAACAACAUGAAAAUUUCUACUAAUAAUAAAAAAAAAAAAGAAACAGGGAGAUCUCUAAAGUUUUGCAUGAUAUAAGUCGUUCAUUUGAGUAUACUCACAGUUUUUGCUCAUUACUGCUUGCAAUUAAUCUCAUUCAUCUUUCUGUUCGAUCACCACAUAUUGGACCUCUGCAUUAUUUGACAAAUAUGUUGUCUUUCAAGUGAUUGAAUCUUAUUAAAUACAACAAUCCCACCGCCGUACUCUUCUCCAUUUUCUUGUUGCUGGCAUUGAAGUAGCUUUUCAAACUUUAUUAGAAGUAAAACGGAAAAAAACUUCUUCAUGAGAAAUAAUAAAAAAGGAUAGAAUAUAUAGAUUUUGUUAUAGAAGAAAUAAUUAAAAAGUAGAGCAGAUGAUUGAAAAGGAACUUGGGAAAGAGAAUGUAAAAGUAGAAGAAUGAAGAAUCGUUUUGUUUCAGUAAAAACGGACCAGAAACGAUCAAAAGUGAGGGAAAAGAAGUAUAAAUGGCGGCCAAUUAAGAGACGUGACUAUUGAGUUUUUUUAUUUAUUUAGGGCACAUUACAUAAAUAGGGGAAUUAGCCAAAAGAUAUAUAAAUCCAAAUCCUAAACUGUAAAAGGUGCCAUGUAGAUAUACAGAUUAUUAAGGGAUUCGCUUCAAUUAAAUUGUCCAUAUCGAGAUUGUGUCUGUUAUCACUUCAUGGUUUCAAACAUUCAAUUUUGGAUUUUCAGUGACAUUUCAAAACAAAACCAUAAUGAUGCAUGAAUCAUUUUCAUUUUAUACAAGUGUUCAAACAUUUUGGGGGUAAAAGAAAAAGAAAACUUAUGCAGCAUUAGUAGAUGUACAAAUCACGUGUGUGAGGCCAAAAGCUCACCAUGUUUCAAUGUUGAUCCUUCAGUAUUCCUACAAAAUAAUAACAAUAAAAUUUCUCAAAGAAUACCGAAACAAAAUGGAAAAAGGGAUACACUAUACGCGCACUACCAUCAACAAAAAUAAAGCACAACACUUCUACCAAAUGUUUUAUACAUAAAGAAUAUGUUUCCGAUGUGAAUACAACCUGAACUAAUAGAGAUUACUCCAGGUAAAGAAAAAUACGAAAAAAAAAAGAAAUCAUAGAAGGUAAGAGUGUUCCCCUAUGGACCUUGAAAGUAAUAUUUUUUUUCCGAGAACUAUAUCACCAACAUAGCAAAUUUCACAUGCCUCGCAUUUCUUCACAUGAUGCAGACCCACCUGUUAAUAGACCGGAAUUUGAGAAAUAUCUCAUUGAAGCAUACAACUAAAAGUUUAUUCCCCAAAUUCAAAACCUUCACAUUCCAUCAAAUGCACACUAAAAAUGAAAAAAGAGAAAACAAAAAAGAAAGUAGGAUGGGCAUGCAGGAAAGUAGCUGUUGGCAUUAUUAUAUUAAUUAAAGUUACCAUAAAAAAAAAAACUAAUCUAUAGAUAUACAUAACGAAACGGAAAAGACACGUCUAUUAAUUUAAAGAUUUGGAUGUUACUAACUAUAUGCGAACGCCGUUAAAUAGGGGUAGUGAAAAAUAAAACGAACUAAAGGAGAAAAGGGCAAAAUAAUGAGGAAACAGAUAGAUACAAAUCCUGGUCAAUAAGCCUUGCCACGUCACAGGACAUUGCCCCUCAAUUAUAUAAAUAUAUAGAUUUGCAUAGACAAUUAUAAAAAUAUUUUGAUAAAUAUUGAGUGAGCACCCACAAGUACAUUCAUUUUUUCUCUUUUUUUGAAUUUUUUUCCGGCGAGCACCCAUAACUUUAAAAUUUUAAAUCCGUCGGUGCUUCUAAUGGCUUGCUUACAACAUUUAUUAUGGUGAGUAGAUUGUUAAGUUAAUUCCUGUUUAAAAAUUAGAUGUUUAUAUUUUAUCUUAUAUCUAGUGUUACUCUUACUUAUCUCCUGCUACUUAGCUCGACAAGCAGACCACGUCGACCCUUUAUUUGUCAAUUAUUGUGUGCUUACCAACCAAAAACAAGAGGAAUCAACUGAUUUUAUAUGCUUGUGUGUCUAAUGCACUAGUUGAGCACGAGUAGUGGACAAAUCUUUUACUUUUUUUUUUAAGUGACUUCUUCUACAAAAUUAAUAUAAUAUGAACAAGGAGAUAAAUAGGUUGUAUUUUAUUUACGCCCAUGUUGGAUUAGAACAAAAGUUCAAAAUUACUUUGAAUAACUGAAAAGAAUCAUAUUUUCUUUUAUAAAAACAGACUUCCUUUUUGUUGGAAACCAAACUAAAAAUUUUCAAAAAUAAAAAAUGAUUUUUAUUUAGGUUCUUAUAAAAUUGACGACACAAACAAACUUUUCCCGAGAUUAUUCUUCAAAAAUAUGCCCAAAUAAUAAUUAAAAUCCUAAAUCCAAAUGCCACCUCCAUUUCACCAAAAUGAUAUUAAAGCUAUGAAUUGAUUUUGAUAAUUUUUAUGUCACGAGACAAGUUCCUUAAAAUAAUUUGUAUUUUUACAUUUUAAAAAAGUAAUAAUAAUUAAUUAAUCGCUCAAUCCACAAUACCUUUCAAAUAGAAACACGUCUCAUCAUGUCGUCACAAUAUCGUUGUUAGAGUUGGUAAGAUUUGAAAGGGUUUGCCUUUGGGAUUUGUUGAAGUCAAUUUGGUCUCCUAGCAGUUCGUACACCAACUCCCCUCCUAACUUUGACAUUAACUUUCCCUAUUUCAACAUCCUUCAAAUAUCUCGCAAACGGUAGUUUGGUUGGUAUACAAGUUAUCUUAUUAUUAAUAAUUUCGUGAUUAGCUGUUCUAUUUUUUCAUAGGGAUAAAAUGCAAUACCGGAAUAAUUAAUGCCGAAAUUAGUUAUACCACGAUUUUAUACCAACCAAUCAUAGGAUAAACUAAUCUUAAAUUUAAUUCCGGAAUUAGUUAUCUCUUAUACCAAACGAGCCCUACGAGAUUCAUCUAUUUUUAUUUAGAAGUUUCGGAUUCAAACUCAAUGGAUGAAGACCCUAUGAUAGGGAAAACUUCUAGCUUUAACGAGUGCUACAUAGUGAAAAUUUGAAUCAGUCGCGAGGGCGGAUCCACUUCCCGACAUACGGGUUCACAUGAACCCAUUAGAUUUUGUCCAAACAGUGUAAAUGUGUUCGAAAAAUUUAUCAAAAUAUCUAAAAAUUUGAAUGUGAAUCCAAUUUUUACUUGAUAUCAUUGCAGAAACUCAUAAAUAUUAAAUUUUAGAUCCGCCUCUAAUUAGUCGGACUAAUAAAUUUCGUACAUAGGUUAAACCAAAAAAUCAACCAUUUAAUGUUUACUUUACUUAUUCUUGGUUUAACAUGGUUAGUGGCUUGGUCCCCCUAUGAGUAGGAAUUUAGGUGUAUGAAACUGUCGUUUUCCCCUUUUGUUAGCGUUGAUCAGUUUAUGUCAAAUUAGGGUCGUUCAAAAUCGAACUGUAACCGUAUCGAACCAAAAAAUUAGCUUAUCGGCUUAUUGGUAUCGGGUUAUUGGGUAAUGGUUGGUGAACAUAUUGAGAUUUUUUAAUUAACGGCUUAACGGUUUGGGGGCAGAUUACUCAAUUUCCUUAUCGGAUAAACAGUUAACCCGUUAAGAAUUUUUAUAUUUAUACUUUUACCCCUAUAUAUAUAAAGUACUAUUUGUAACCAUAAAUCCCUAAUUUCUGAAUUCAAUCAAUACUAUCAUCUAUUAAUUUCAAUAUGCUUGAUACAAGCAUAUUGUACGAUUGAUAAGAUAUAUGCAUUCUUGUUAUGUUUUGAUGAUCUAACAAACUUACUGAUAAGAAUCAGAUAAGGAACAUGAUACAGAUCCUUAAGUACGUGAGAAUAACAAGUCUCAAGCUGGGGACACGAAUUAUCUCUUAAGAGUCAAAGAAACAACAAGGGGAACAGAUGGACAUCAGUUCCCUUGGUGACCGUACCAGUCAACCUCCCAACAGCUAUAAAGUUGCUGCCCGCACACGCAACAGUGCAGUAGUCAACGUCAUUGGGAAUGCCCUUGUACCAAACAUGCUUGCAUCAUUCAAGUGAUGUCACAUAUGUAAUAUUAAUAUUAAGCCAAAGGCAAAACAUCACUAGAAGAAAAAAGAAUCGAUCCAACAUUCUCUCAAGUCUGUGCAUCAAACCAACGAGCGAUUCUCAAGGGCGUCAAGAACAAAGAACAAUAUAACAAAUGACCAGUUUCCUGUAUUGAGUCAUUACAUGUCCUUAGUUGUGUUGCAUAUUUGUUAAAGUACUUACUUGUGAUUCCUAUUUAGCUUAGUUAGAAGCAUUGUGUAGGAAACUUUUAUAAAAUCUUAAACCUUGUGUUUGUAUCUUGGCUAGAGUUAGUCGAGUUGUAAGCUUUGUAAUAGAGUUAUUACAAAGGGGCUUGUAAUAGAGUUGUUACAAGUUAGUAAGGGAUUAAGAGGUUAAUUCCUAACAAUAGGUUAUAAUCUGAAAUUUGCUUAGUAGUAAAGUUGAAAUCCUACAAGGGUAGGUCGUGAUUUUUAAUCCCGUGAGCUGGUAGUUUUCCACGUAAAAUUCCAUUGUGUCAUUUACUUACUGCAAUGUGCAUGUGUUUCAGUAGAAACUAAUAUAGAACAUGGUUCUCUAUAUAGUUUGGUGGACCCUUAGUUUCUACCAAUUGGCAUCAGAGCAGGUUCUUUCUAUGAGGCUAACACCUAGAAAGGAUCCUCAUGGCUGCUCCACCAAAUUUUGAAGAAGGUCAAUCUACCACCAAGAUUCAACGACCAAUACUAUUGAUGGUAGAAGACAAUGAUGCAUGAUUUUAUUAUGGCUGAAGAUUCAGAGCUCUGGGAUGUUAUUUGCGAUGGACCCUUCGUCCCUAUGAAGACAAGUGGUGACCCAACAGUAACAGUUUCCAAAACAAGAAAGGAAUUCAACGAUGAUGAUCGAAAGGCCAUAGAGAAGAACUUUCGAGCAAAAAUAAUUCCCGUAUGUUGUAUUGGACCAGACGAAUACAAUAAGAUUUCAGCAUGUCAAUUAGCCAAUGAGAUCUGGGAAGCUCUCUAAACAGUUCAUGAAGGGACAACUCAAGUCAAGCAGUCGAAGAUUGAUAUGCUAACCACAAAGUAUGAGCUCUUCAGGAUGAAGGAUGAUGAGUCCAUUCAAGAUAUGCACACUCGCUUCACCUUUAUCAUCAAUGAGCUCCAUUUUCUGGGAGAAAUCAUUUCAAGGAACAAACUUGUUAGGAAAAUACUCAACGCAUUACCCAGUUCUUGGGAAAGCAAAGUAAAUGCUAUCACGGAGGCAAAUGAUCUACAGAAGCUGACCAUUGAUGAACUCGUUAGGAAUAUGAAAACUUAUAAAAUGAAGAAAAAGAAGGACAAUGAGAGAAGAGAUCCCAAAAGGGAGAAGAACCUGGUCCUCAAGACAAACAACAAUGAAUCAAGUGGUGAGGAUGCUGACAUGGCCUACUUGACAAAGAGGUUUCAGAAAAUGGCUUGCAAAAAUGGAGGUAUUCCAAAACGGGGCAGCUCCAGCAAGCAAAGAGGCUAUGACCUAUGUCAUAAGUGUGGGGAGUCAGGACAUUUUAUCAAAGAUUACCCUUUCCUCAAGCAAGAUCAGUACAAACACAACACAGACAAAGCAACUAAUAGGAACCAGGUUCUUGACAAAUGGUUCUAAAGAAAAUAUGUUGCUGACAAUAUUGUGAAACAAGCUCUUGCUGCAUGGGGAGACUCUUCCAGCAAAUCUGGAGAAGAUGAUGAAAAAGGCGACAACAAAAUGAUGGCAGUAGAAAGUGAAGCAACUGAAAUGACACUGUCUUUGCCCUGAUGGCACAAUCUGACGAUGAGGUAAACUUUCUAGAUGUUCAAAGAAAUCUGAAGUCUUACUCUCCAAAAAAACUUAUGUCUUUGGCAAAUGUUUUAAUUGAUGCUUAUCAUAGUCUUAUAAAUGAUAAAAAUGCAUUAACUGUGGAACUAGGAGAAGUAGAACAUGAUAGAGAUAAUCUAGUAGUUUGUGUGGUCGAUUUAAAAGAAACCAUUGAGAGUUUGAAAAAAGAAAAUGGUGCCCUAGCUGAAAUAAUUGCAAACAUAGAACAUGAGAGAGAUGACCUAACAGUUGUUGUGGUUGAUUUAAAAGAGACCAUUGAGUGUCUUAAAGAAGAGAAAAAAUCCUUAACUAAAAAGGUAGCUAACAUAGAGCAUGGGAGAAAUGACCUAUUAGUGGUAGUUGUAGACCUAAAGGAAACAAUUGAUGAACAAAAAGGAGAAGGUGGUCAUGAGAUUACUCGAAAGGGAAAGGAAGUUGCAAGUGAGAAAUAUCUUAGGAUUGAAGAUGAGUUAAAAUCAGUAAAAUCCAGUCUGUGUGCCGAACUAGAGAAAAACAAGCAACUUUAGGAAGAUCUAGGAAGAGUUAAGAGUGAUCUAGAAAAAUCACUCAAGUGGACUUGGUCCUUUGAUGUUAUCACUGCCAUGUAUAAGAACAAUGGGGGAAACAUGCAAGGAAUAGGGUUCCAAAGGGAAAAUACUCCAUACAUCCCUCAUAGCUAGUACGUUACUGUACCUGAUAACUGGUCUGCACUCACUGUGAUAACACUGGGCACUUUAAGGAAACCUGUAAGGCCAGAUUUCAGUCUCAACAGAAAAAUAAAGUUUUUGCUAAAAAGGUAACUACUGCUAAAGAACCUGGUACCUCAUAUAAAAAAUAUGCGAUGCAUGCUUGGACCAGAAGAGUCCUGAUUCAUCCCUUUCCUCAUUACAAGGGACCCAAACUUGUUUGGGUUCCUAAGUCUAACCCUUGAUUUCCUUGUGCAGAGAGUAGUGAAAGGGAGCAACCAACAAUGGUACAUGGAUAGCGGCUGCUCAAAGCACAUGACUGGAAGCACAAAUAAUUUCCUUUCACUCAAGGCCCUGCAAAGAGGGAGUGUGUCCUUUGGAAACAGCAAAAAAGGAUACAUUUUGAGAGUUGGAAAGAUUGGGAAGUCUCUUUCUCACUCAAUUGAAAAUGUGUACUACGUGAACGGGUUGAAGUACAGCUUGCUAAGUGUCUCCCAAAUCUGUAACAAGGGAAACGGAGUGGAAUUUGUGUCAAAAAUAUGCACGGUCACAAAUCUUGUGGCUGAUGAAGUGGUUUUGGUGGCUAAAAGAUACAAAAACAUCUAUGUUGCUGACUUUGAAUCCCUACAAAAUGGGGAUCGUAGUUAUCUGGGUGUUGUAGAUGAUGAUGCUGAACUAUGGCACAAAAGACUAGGUCAUGCAAGCUUUAUGUUGCUGAAUAAAUUGGUCAAGAAGGACCUGGUUCAUGGCUUGCCCAACUCAAGCUUCAAGAAUCACAAGGUGUGCGAUGCAUGUGUAAAAGAAAAGCAAGUCAGAUCUUCUUUCAAGCCCAAAAAGGAAGUUAGUAUCUCAAGGCCACUUGAUCUCCUCCAUAUGGAUCUAUGUGGACCUAUGAGAGUGCCAAGUAGAGGAGGAAAGAAGUACAUCUUCGUUAUUGUGGAUGACUAUUCCAGAUUAACAUGGACUCUGUUUCUCAGAACCAAGGAUGAAACCUUUGAAGUAUUUGUUGCAUUUGUGAAGAAGAUCCAGGUGAAGAUGAGCCAUAAUGUAGUAAGUAUAAGGUCGGAUCAUGGCAUAGAAUAUGACAAUGCCAAAUUCGAUGAAUUAUGUGCUGAAAAUGGCAUCACUCAUAAUUUUUCAGAUCCAAGAACACCUCAACAAAAUGGUGUCGUGGAGAGGAAGAAUAGGACCCUUGAAGAUAUGGAAAGAACAAUGUUGAUUGACAGUGGCACUGCAAAUUUGUUUUGGGCAGAAGCCAUCAACAUUGCAUGCUACUUGGUGAACAAGUGCAUGAUCAGGUCCCUUUUGAACAAAACCCCAUAUGAACUACUGAACGGGAGGAAGCCCGAGCUGACACAUCUAAGGACAUUUGGGUGCAAAUGUUUUGUACUCAACAAUGGCAAGGAAGCACUAGGAAAGUUCGAUGCCAAAAGUGAUGAAGGGAUCUUUCUGGGCUAUUCAUCACAAAGCAAAGCCUACAAAGUAUACAACAAAUGAACUCAAUGCGUUGAGGAAAGUAUACAUGUGAUCUUUGAUAAAUCUCACCACUCAUGUGGGAAUGAUUCACAUGAUAAGAUUGAUCAAGAUGGAGAACAAUCAACUAUCCCUGGUGAAGUCAUUGACAUGUCAAAUGGAAAAGCUGACAUGAUGAACCAUAUCAAGGAAUCAAAUGAUGAUGGUGCAAUCAUAUCUCCAACUGAUGGGGAGGAACCCGGUUCCUUAAUCACAGCAACUCAAGCUGAAAACAGAGUUGUUGAUAUUGUACAAGGCACCCCACAUGCUGAGGUGAGAAGGAGAACUCACGACAACCAAGGAUCACAUUCAGAAAUACCUAGACCUUCCCACAAUGAGGUUCCGUUGUCUAACUGUAAACACAAAAGUUCACACCCUACUGAAAAUAUGAUCACUCAUCUUGACUCAGGAAUUCAAACCAGUUCAAAGACAAGAAACGCGCUUGCCUUCUCAACUUUUCUCUCUCAAAUUGAGCCCAAAAACAUCAAGGAAGCAUUGGAAGAUGCUGAUUGGAUUACGGCUGUGCAAUAAGAACUCCAUCAAUUUGAAAGGAACAACGUAUGGCACCUGGUUCCACGACCUGCUAACAGAAUUGUUAUAGGAACCAUGUGGGUAUUUGAUAAGUAGGGAUUUUAGCCUAUUAUUUGCUCUCUUUUACUUAGGUUUUGAGCCAAAAAUGCGUAAAGGUAUUUCCGAAAACUAACUUAAUGUGCUUGCUUGCAGGGUUUUGUUCGAAAUGAGCUAAAGAAGCCAUAACCAACUCAUAAAGGAGUCAAACAUGAACAAAAACCAAGUCUGGACCAAUACUGUGGAACGCGGACCGUGAUAGAAAAGGUCGGCCGCGAAAUAAUUAUCGCUGAGGCGGCCAUUAUUCAGCGGACCGCGAAAUAGAGAUUCAGAGAAGCUGUUUUGAGCACUAAAAUUGAGCGUUGAGAGCAGCAGAAAGAUGCGACCGUGAAGUGACUGGCGCGGCCACGGUUGGAAUUUAGCGGACAUCGUUUGUCGAGGUUCAGAGACUUUGCAAAAUGGGCAUAAAUAAAGAAGGCGGUCUGCGUCCAAAUUACGUGGCCGCGAAGGAAUCUCACGCGGACGCGGUGAACAUUACGUGGUCCAUGAAAUGAAGAUCUACCCUGGCCCAGGUAUGAAUAAACGCGGAUCACACUCACUAUUACGCGGCCGCGAAAACCCAAGCGUGGACGCUGAGAGCGGGGAAUUUUUGUCCGAAAUUUUCAGCCUAGUAUAAAUAGAACCUUUUAUCAAUUUUAGGUUAAGUUUUGUUUAGCAGAGCACGUGAAUGGCUGAUUUUUUCCUUUUUGGGCAAUUUUAGAGUAGAUUCACCUUCAAACUUUAGAUUCUUAUCUUGUACUUUAAUAUUAUGGCUUAUAUUUCAUCAUUAUCUUUGAUUUCUGCUGUUAUUAUGAGUAGCUAGACCCCAUAGCUAGGGUUGUGACCCAACCCUAGUGUGGGUAUUUAAUGGGUCUUGAAUUCUAGGGCUUAAUUAUUUAUGGGUUAGUGAUANNNNNNNNNNNNNNNNNNNNNNNNNNNNNNNNNNNNNNNNNNNNNNNNNNNNNNNNNNNNNNNNNNNNNNNNNNNNNNNNNNNNNNNNNNNNNNNNNNNNNNNNNNNNNNNNNNNNNNNNNNNNNNNNNNNNNNNNNNNNNNNNNUUGAUAGCCCCAAUUAAAGGCUUAAACCUAGAGAUAGUAAUAUCCGACUUGAGCCAAUUUUACUUGUAUUGUAUGAACACCCAUUUGGGCUUGAGAAAGCCAAAUCGGGCAAAGUCACUCAAACUACGGAGAGGUAUAGAGUGAGCACUUAUGUGUGAUGGUUAUAUCAUGACCCCAAUCAUAACAAGCUUGUCCUAGAUUUUUGAUACCCAUUAGAUACUCACCUAGGAGGAAGUCACUUCCCUAGUGCCUUUUAACACUUGAAAACUUUCAUCAAAAAUAUUGUACUUAGCUUAUAGCAUACAAUAGUAUAAAAUUAGAAUAGAAUCAAUCGCAACAAUGUUUGGAAGUGCAAUUAGGAACAAUACGCACAUCUAGAUUAGUUAGAUACCCAACUCCAAGCCAAAUUAACUCCCUGUGGAAAUCGAUCCUGACCUCGUUGGGUAAAACUGCAUCGACCAUACUCGCUACUCUAUAGUGGUGUAGGUUUGUCCUCGAUCAGUAUUCAGAAACAAACUUGAUGAGUUUGGAAACAUAACUAGAACCAAGGCAAGGCUAGUAGUUCAAGGCUACAAUCAAGAAGAAGGAUUGACUUUGAUGAAACCUUUGCUCCAGUUGCUCGAAUGGAGGCCAUCAGAAUCCUCAUUGCCUUUGCAUCUCAUAUGGAAUUAAAAUUAUUCCAAAUGGAUGUCAAAAGUGCAUUUCUGAAUGGCUUUCUAAAAGAAAAAGUAUUUGUCAAGCAACCACCUGGAUUUGAGAAUCAUGAGCAUCCUGAGCAUGUUUUUAAAUUUGACAAGGCAUUAUAUGGGCUAAAGCAGGCUCCUCGUGAUUGGUAUGAAAGGUUUUCCAAAUUUCUUCUACAAAAUGGUUUUACAAGAGGAAAAAUUGACAGCACCUUAUUUUUGAAGAAACGAGGGAGGAACCUACUCAUUGUGCAAGUAUUUGUGGAUGACAUUAUGUUCGGAGCAACAAAUGACUCACUGUGUGAGGAAUUUACAAAACUCAUGAGAAGUGAGUUUGAAAUGAGCAUUAUGAGGGAAUUAAAUUUCUUUUUGAGAUUACAAGUCAAGCAAACUCUUAAGGGGACAAUGAUAAGUCAACAAAAGUACAUCAAGGAGCUUCUAAAGCGAUUUGAUAUAAAAGGAUAAAAAAUCAUUGAUACUCCUAUUGCUACCACUACUUGUCUGGACAUGGAUGAACAUGGUUCUCCUGUAAAUGAGACCAUUUAUAGAAUUAUCAUAGGGUCACUCAUGUAUCUCACAACAAGCAGACCAGAUAUUAUUUUCAGUGUGGGACUCUGUGCUAGGUUUCAGUCUAAUCCAAAGGAAUCUCAUCUGAAGGUUGCCAAAAGAAUCCUGAGGUAUCUCAAAGGCACGCAGGACCUGGUUCUCUACUAUCCCUCAGGAAAUAACUUUGAUUUAAUCGGAUAUGCUGAUACUGAUUAUGCUGGUUAUCUAGUGGAUAGAAAAAGCACUUCUGGCAUGGCACAUUUUAUGGGAUCAUGUCUGAUCUCACGGGGUACAAGAAAACAAAACUCAGUGGCUCUUUCAACUACUGAAGCUGAAUAUGUGGCGGCUUCCUCUUGUUGUGCUCAAUUGCUAUGGAUCAAGCAACAACUAGAAGAUUUUGGUAUAUUUUCUGACUGUGUGCCCUUACUAUAUGACAACACAAUUGCUCUCAACAUGGCCAAGAAUCCGGUUCAACAUAAGAGAACAAAGCAUAUUGAUGUGCGACACCGCUUCCAUAUAUAUAAUGUUGAAAAAGGGCUCAUCUGCAUGAAAUUUUGUAGCACAGAAGAUCAAAUUGCAGACAUCAUCACCAAAGCACUGAGCAGAGAACACUUUGAAAGGAACCGCUUGGCACUAGGGUUAAUAAAAUCAAGCUAAGGAACUGGUCCCUUAAUGAUUGGCUAUGAAAGAAAUGUGUAGGUAAAAUUGCUAAAAAGUAUUUUCUGGUAAAGUCUAACUCAUCUCUAUACCGUUGCAAGUAGACACACAUGACGAUUACAGAGAAAACAAGUGGCCAAUGAUAUUGCAUUUCAGUCAAAAGGAUGAAGAUCACAUUUACAAAAUCUGUCAGGGAACCUGGUUCCCUUGACACACGUUAGUAGUUUCUAUGUACUUUCAUCCAUAUCUUUUUAACGGCUAAAAUGGUGCCACGUCAUUAAAAUGUCAAUCUUUCCUUUCUCUCUCUUUUUGGAACUCAAACGUCCUACCCUUUAUGAAAUGACCCAUCUACCCAUAUUGAUACUCGUUCCUAACCGGUCCCUCACCCCUCUUAAAUAACUUCUCUCACAGUCACUAUCAUAAUUGUUCACAUCAAAGCCAAAAAUUCCCUUUUUUGCCUCAAACCAAACACUCUUUUUUUCCCAUCGAAUUCUCACUACCCUCCAUCAUGUCUGAAAAUUUGGAAACUCAGAAUGAUCCAAGCAUCGUCCCCACUGUGUCUUCACCCAUUGAAACCCCAGUGCUAGAGCCUAUAAUCCCUAUACCAUCUAAUCCAAACCCUAAGCUAGAGUCACAACCACAUAAUGGUUCCUCUCCAACUCAGUCGAGUACUAGCUCUCAUCGGAGUCGCAAAACCUCGACUCCCAAGUAAUUUAUGGCAGCGACCUCUCCUUUUGUCUCGUCAAAAAAAAUGGUAGAAGUAGAUAUAGUGGCGGAAAAAGAACAUAAGGGAAUCUCUAGUCAACCAGUGGAAGAAAGUUUUGAGAUGCAAGGAGUGGGUUAUAACAGUGAUGAAUCGCCAAAGACUACCUCAUGCCUUGAUCGGUAUGCUGCCGAUUCUAUAGGUAAUGCUCUUCUUAUGUCUUCUGAGUUUACCUUGGAGUUACAAUAACAAGAGCCUAUAGAAAAUAUAUUGUCAAUAGCUACUGAGGGAAGUCUUAUUGGGGGUUAUGCGAGUGUGUCGGAAGCGAAUUGGUCUCAGAGGAAAAAGAAAUGGUACACAGAUAGAGAGUAGGGAACCGGUGCAUGUCGAAACUUUGGCACCUGACAAUACUACUGGGGAACCAACUGAGGGACCUCAUCCCUCCACCCAAGAGGGGCCCUAUGCUUCUACUUGGGAUAAAACCCCUGGUUCUCCACAAGAACCACAAGUCAAUAUUGAUCUCUCCCCUUCUCCUCAUUUCUAUAUUGAGCCAUUAUGCAUUGUUGUCCCUGAACUGAGAUCUUUAUUUGAGGAGGAGCAUGAGGAUAGUGAAAAUGACUAUGAAUAUGUGGCUCUUGCGAGCUUCAUCAAGGCUAGGAGUAGACAAGCUCCUCAACAUGAGUCAACUCCUAAGAGACCUACCACUAGGUUGCAGAAGAAGGAAGCUCUUGAGUCAGUUCUUAGGAACAACAAAGAAAAACAGAAGAAGAGGAGAUUGGUAAAGUAUGGGAAGAUUGUAAAUGAGAAGGUAGUGCCUCCAGCACUAGUUGUCGAUAUUGAUAAUGAGGUGGAUGAGGAACAUGGUUUCCUUAGUUCGUAAGUCCUCAAAGAAACUUACAAUUCCAAAGUCCAAGAAAGAGUCAUCUGUGAGUGAGAUGGGUUUAAGCAAUGUUGAGGGUGAAAAAUCUGGUGAGCAAGUAGUUAACAAAUCCGAUGAGAAAGCAGUUGCCAAGUCUGGGAAGAAAGUGACUGAAGAGUCGGUUGAACAAGUAUCUAAGAAAAACGUGUCUGAGAAAUAUGCUAAGAAAAGAAAGGGUGCAAGAAAAUCAGUGAAAAGGAAGGCUAGUGACAGUGAGGAACCUGGUUCCUCCAAGAAGGCUAAGGUUGGAGCAAACCAGGAUGCUAGAAGGGAAAAGUUAAGAUACGAAAAGGUGUUGUAGGGCUGUACAUUUUCCUUUGAUAUUCUUGACAUGUCAGGAAUGUGCCAACUGGUGGAUAUUUGUGAAUUCCAAUAGUGGACACAUAUGUUCACAAAUGACAGUCCCAAGGUGUAUGAGGCAGAAGUGCGUAGUCUCUAUGCUGACUUCUUCACAGUUGAGGAUGAUAACAUUUGCCUGCAAGUGAAUGGUGUUGAUUUUGUGAUGGAUACUGUUGUCCUGGGAACCAUUUUAGGCGUGCCAACUGAUGGGAUGUCCUCCAUUGAGGGGGACUGCUCUCCGAACUUCAGAAACGCCAUCGUGAAGGAUAAGGCAGUGCAGCAAGGGGAACAGGUACACAAGAAAGCCCUCCUUCCAGUGUGCCAAUUGCUAUUCAAAAUGGUGAACAAAGUUCUGCUCCCAUGUGCUGAAAGACGCUCCAUUACAUCACGAGCGGACAUGGUUCUCAUGGAAGCACUGGAUGGCUACAUCACUAUAAACCUUCCUGGUCUUAUGAUAUAGCACAUGAAAAAAGUGGCAGAGUUCAAGGAUGGUAAUCAUGGGUUGCCUUACGGGUGCCUCCUUACUAAAGUAUUUGAAUUCUUCAAAGUUCCCAUAGGAAAGGCUAAAGUAGGAACUCGCAAGCAAUCCUUCUCCAAAACCACCCUUGAAGAGUGUGAGUGCAUUGAUAGGAGUGGAGGGGUUGGCAGCAAUUCCACCAUCUCUCAACUGAUCAAUGCUCAAAAUAUUGCCACUGAAGAAAUAAGGAAGCUGAAGGCACGGAAUGCCAUUCUCAAAGGUCAGCUCAGUCAGACCCAGGAGGCACCUGGUUCCAGUAGUUCCCAAAGCACAGAGGUUUCCUGUCUGACAAAGGAAAAUGAUGCUCUCAGGAAACACGUUGAGGACCUGAAGGAAAGGUUGCUAACUGAGCAAGUGCUCACCAAUUCUCGAAUGGACAUCCUUCUUCGAACCCUUGCCUCUUCCUCUACCUCCAGUGCUCCUUAAACAGUCGUCCCAUUCCCAGUGUCAAGUUCUUAGUGUCUGUCAUCUGUUCUCUUUUCUUAUGCUUCGAGAUGUUUAUGACUGGUACCUUUUUGUGGUUUUUAAUUUUGUGCAUGAUUUGGUAACAACGGAACUGCUCCCUGUUUUCUUUCCCUAACUUAAUGAUAAUUUCAUCCUUUUGUUGUGCAUGUCUUGCUCUUUUGCUCUAUUUUGUAUUAUGUUGUAUGUACACAUAUGGCAUGAGUUAACCAAGCUAGACUUCUUUUUGCUUAUUGCUUGCUACUGAUCUUUUUAUGAUGCCAAAAGGGGAAGAUUAAAUUGAGGGGGAACAAGAUAGGGAACAACAGAUUCAGUGGGAAUUCUGGGAAACUUCAACUAUAAGUUUGUCAUCAUCAAAAAGGGGGAAAUUGAUAGGAUAUAUGCGUUCUUGUUAUGUUUUGAUGAUCUGACAAACUUACUGAUAAGGAACCUCAUACAGAUCCUCAAGUAUGUAAGAAUAACAAGUCUCAAGAUGGGGACGCGAAUCAUCUCUUAAGAGUCAAAGAAACAACAAGGGGAACAGAUAGAUACCAGUUCCCUUGGUGACCGUACCAGUCAACCUCCCAACAGUUGUAAAGUUGCAGCCUGCACACGCAACAGUGCAAAAUAGUGCAACAGUCAACUUCAUUGGAAAAGCCCUUGUACCAAACAUGCUUGCAUCAUUCAAGUGAUGUCACAUAUGUAAUAUCAAUAGUAAACCAAAGGCAAAACAUCACUGGAAGAAAAAAGAAUCGAUCCAGCAUUCUCUCAAGUCUGUGCAUCAAUACAGCGAGCGAUUCUCAAGGGCAUCAAGAACAAAGAACAACAUAACAAAGGACCAAUUUCUUGUGUUGAGUCAUUGCAUGUCCUUAGUUGUGUUGCACCUUUGUUAAAGCACUUUACUUGUGAUUCCUACUUAGCUAAGUUAGAAGCAUUGUGUAGGAAACUUUUGUAAAAUCAUAAACCUUGUGUUUGUGUCUUGGAUAGAGUUAGUCGAGUUGUAAGAUUUGUAAUAGAUUUAUUUAAAAGGGGCUUGUAAUAGAGUCGCUACAAGUUAGUGAGAGAUUAAGAGGUUAAUUCCUAGGUUACAUUAGGUUGUAAUAUGAAGAUUGCUCAGUAGUUGUAACGACCCGGCCAGUCAUUUUGAGUAUUAUAACCCCGUUUCCCCAUUUACUACUCAAUUUAUGCUUUACGGUUAUUUUAUGACUUGCCGGGGUAGUUGGUUUGGGUACGAAAGGAAUUCGGAGUGAAAUGAGACACUUAGUCUCAUAAUUGAAGAAUUUAAGUUAGAAAAGUGACAGGAUGUGGACUUAUGUGUAAAUGACUUCGGAUUUGAAUUUUGAUAAUUUCAAUAGCUCCGUAUGAUAAUUUCGGACUUAGGAGCAUGUCCGAAAAAUUAUUUGGAGGUCCGUGGUGGAAUUAGGCUUGAAAUGCCGAAAGUUGAAAUUUUAAAAAGUUUGACCGAGGGGUUGACUUUUUGAUAUCGGGGGUCGGAAUCCGAUUCUGAAAAUUUGAAUACCUCCGUUAUGUUAUUUAUGACUUGUGUAAAAAAUUUGAGGUCAAUCGGACGUAAUUUGAUAGGUUCUGGAGUCGUUUGUAGAAACUUGAAAUUUCAAAGUUCAUUAGGCUUGAAUUGUGGUAUGUUUCGUGGUUUUAGCGUUGUUUGAGGUAAUUUGAGGGUUCGACUAAGUUCAUAUGAUAUUUUAGGACCAGAUGGUAUGUUUGGUUGAGGCCUCGGGGGAUUAACAGAUUAUUUUAUGCCUUGGUGAGAUUGCUGAUAUCUGCUGCUGCAUUUUUUUGAUUUUCUCUUUCGCGUUCGCAAGUGGGCCCUCGCGUUCGCGAAGAGUGUUUUCUAAGUGUGAGGUUUUGUUCUUCGCGUUCGCGAAGGGGAUGAAGCGAACGCGAAGGUAUGGUCUAUGUGUGCAUCACGAACAAGUGUGAGGUCUCGCGUUCGCGAAGAGGAGUGAGGCUAUUGGGGACCCCAAGUCCUUGUUAUACGCGUUCGCGAGAUGGUGGUCGCGUUCGCGAAGGCCUGAGCUAGAAAAGCUUUGCGUUCGCGUAGCCGUGGUCGCGUUUACGAAGGGUAGGAUUUGUAAAGCUUCGCGGGUAAGAUUUGUAAAGCUUCGCGUUCGCGAAGCCACGGUCGUGUUCGCGAAGGGUUAAAUUUGUGGGCAGUCAAGUUAUGCUUCGCGAACGCGAGGGCCAUUUCGCGUUCGCGAAGAAGAGAGGUCUGGACAGAAAGUUUAACUUUGUCCCAUUUUCCAUUUUGUACGAUUUGGAGCUCGAAUUGAGGCGAUUUUUGCGAGAUUUUUAGAGGAAACAACGGGGUAAGUGUUCUUAACUCAAUAUUGGUCAACUUACCCAAAUUCAUGGUUCUUUUUAUCAUUUAAUUGGUGAAUUAAGUUGGAAAAGUUUGAAAACCUUUUUGGAUAAAUUUGAGGAUUUGAGGGCCGAAUUAUUAUCGGAAUUUAGUAAUUUUGGUAUGGAUAGACUCGUGGUAGAAUGGCGGUUCAUAUGUUAUAACUUUUGUCGAGUUCCGAGACGUGGCCCCCACAGGCGAUUUUUGGAGUUAAAAUUCGAUUUUUUAUGGAAAAAUUAUAUUUUCAUAUGGAAUUAAUUUCAAUUAAUUUUAUUGACUGAAACGAAUUAUUUGUGACUAGAUUCGAGGCAUUCAGAGGCCGAUUUGCGAGGCAAAGGCAUAGCAGAGUAAAGAAUUUCACACUCUGAGGUAAGUAACAAUUUUAAAUCUGGUCCUGAGUGUAUAAAACCCCAGAUUGUGACAUGAUCCAUCCCGUGGAAACUGUAAAGCUGAAUAACUUGUUGAUAGUUAUUUGCUCUCUAUGUGUUGUGAAAACUUGACUAUAAGUCAUGCUAGAAACCAUGUUUAGGCUAUAUGUUGGUAUUAUUGGGACCCACAGAGGUCAUGUACAUGUGAAUUAUCUGCUUAAAUUGUGGUUUUGUACUCAGUCACAACUUACUUGAUUAUUUUAUCUCAGUCUCUAAUAUUCAUUAUUGAUGUAUCAUAUCAUUGUUGUUUGGGCUGAAUUUAUGAUUGUGGAGAGUCCGGGAGACUGGAGAGCUUUAUGACUGAGUGAGGCCGAUGUCCUGAUUGUGAGAUAUUAUACUAUAGCACGUGAGUUGGUCGUGUAACACGUGAGUUGUCCGUGCAGAUCCUUAUAUUAUACUAUAACACGUGAGUUGGCCGUGCAACACGUGAGUUAUCCGUGCGGAUCCUUAUAUUAUACUAUAGCACGUGAGUUGGCCUUGUAGCAUGUGAGUUGGCCGUACAGAUUCAGAUAUUUAUAUUAUGGCGUGUGAGUUGUCCGUGCAGAUUAUAGUGCUUGGGAUGUAGGAGCCCCUCCGUAGUCUCUACACCCCCAGUGAGCGCGGGUACCCAUUGAGUGUAAGUGCUGAGGGUUGAGAGUCGAGUGGUUGAGUUGUUGUGACGAGUCGAGUGACUGUUGCCCUGAGAGGUUGUACUUGCUUUUCAUUUGUCGUUGCACUUAGUUGCUAUUUGUCAUUGUUGUGAAAUUCUCUGAAAGAUUUUAUAUCCGGAUUACAUGAACUUGAACUGUAUAAAUUGAUUUGGCUUAAACUGCUGGAUUUGAAAGCAUGUCUAUUCUUUGUUGGAGUUACUGGAAAUGAACUAUAACUGUGUAGCUCGUCACUAUCUUCAAUUCCUUAUUUAUUAUUGUUAUUUGCUGAGUUGGUUGUAUUCAUACUACACUCUGCACUUCGUGUGCAGAUCCAGGUGCUUCUGGACAUAGCAAGUGCUAAUUCUCUCGCACAGUUGAUUUUUCGGAGAUUCAGAGAUAGUUGCCGUGUUUCGCAGACCUUGUCUCUCCUUCCCUAUCUCCUUAUUUACUAUAUUUGGUCUUAGACUAUUAUAGAUCGUUUUCUUUUGACUUGUAUCCAUAUUAGAUGCUCAUGUACUUAGUGAUACGAGGUUUUGUGGAGUGUUCGUAUCAGUAUUGUGAGAUUAUGUAUUGUAUUUAAAUAUUAUAUUUUCAGACUUAAAGAAAUUGUGGUUUAUUAAGAUUUUCGACUUGCCUAGUAUCGAGAUAGGCGCCAUCACGACAAAUUGGGAUUUUGGAUCGUGACGGUAGUGGAGUUGAAAUCAUACAAGGGUAGGUCGUGAUUUUUAAUUCCGUGAGUUGAGAGUUUUCCACGUAAAAUUCCAUUGUGUCAUUUAGUUACUGCAGUGUGCGUACGUUUCAGUGGAAACUAAUAGAGAACAUGGUUCUUUAUAUAGUUUGGUGAACCCUUAGUUUCAAUAGGAUUGCAUGAAUCGAAAAACUUGAUUGGUAGCUUGGAGAUGGAAGAUAUAGCCAACAACUUUCUGAAUAUUUUAUUGCGGAAUUCGUUCUUGCAAGUUGCUAAAAGAGACGAAUACGAUAACAUUCAGUCUUUUACAACGCAUGAUCUUGUACAUACAUGAUCGAUCAUGCAUUAUUUGCAAUUUUGCAUAUAUCAAAAGGUUACUUCUUAACACAUUUAACAGUAAUAUUCUUGGUAUCAGUUAGAAGACAAAUAAAUGUAAGCACUACUAUUUGAUCAGUGAUGGGCGUGAGUUGUGAUUACUUCUUGGUAUAAGUUAUAAAAUGCAUGUCCGUCUAAUCUAGGCCUAAAUUUUUCCUUACUUGGUAUCUGAUAAUUGUACUGGAUAUUACAUGUCACAACAAAUAGAUUAGGAAAUAUUCUAUAAAUAAAUAAAUCUAGACCUAAAUUUUUUCUUAUCUUUAAUUCUCUACUUCUUUUUGUUAGAUCUAUUUGAUUUAGCCGAUUAACCGCCCGAUAAUCGCUAAUCCGAUAUCAAUCCGUCCGAUGUCUUAUUGGUUGGCUAGUGGAUUACUAUAUUUAUAAACAUGUUUACCCUUAAAAACAUAUAACAAUUGAAUUUAUACGUGGUUUUAAGGAUAUGUAGAUUAAUUCAAUACAAGUGAUUAAUGACGUUAGAAUAAGCAAAUAAAAGACGUAAUAAAUGACCAAACCAAUUAUAAGAAUGGGUCCGAACCCGGUUAAUGACUUAAUGAGGAACCUGUCUUCGGUUCCAAGCUUGCACUUAUGAAGAACUUAUGAACAAGAACUUUGAAUAGCUUUGAGAAACAGAAGUAUAUCGCCUUGGUAUGCGUGUUACAAUGUGUCUAAUGAAUAAUAAGCUUCCCAUUUAUAUAGUAUGAGAGUUUCAUCCUAGGUACAAUUCUAAGAAAGGUAAAAAUCUUUAUUUUUGCUAACCACUAAUUUUUUGUCGAUACGGGUCGAGAUUCGCGCUGUGAUAUCCGGUUAGGCACGGACAUCACGGCCCUUUGUUAGUCGUGUGCGGUUGUUUGGUAAAGCUCUCCGAGGUUAUGUGACUCGAACCAGACCCAGAGGACGUGGUCACGAUGGCUCCGAGAGCAAGUGUUUUGCUCGGGCCCUGAUACGAGAGGAUUUUCGCUCUGAUCCUGAUUCCUUACAUUCACGAUCCUGCUCCGUUUGCCUCCCCCAGAAAUCGGGGUGCUCCCUAGACUUGGUUUCACCCGAAUACAAAAUCGAUAAGCCAAACUGUUAAGCGUAAAUAUCCGCCCGAUCCGCCCGAUGAGCACCCUAUGUCAAAUCACUCACCAUUCAUUAUGUUAUUUAUGAGUUCUAUCAUUGGUUUAUUAGUUCUAAUGUUUAGUUUAAGCUGCUCUGUUAAUGCUAAUCACGAUACCAUUGCUACUAGGUCGUGCUCCAUCUUUAGGGUAAGAAUUUGUUUAGCAGGAUAGGAUAAUGAGUUGGACCUAUUAAUAGCCGAGUUCUCUUUAUAUAAAUAUUGCAUUUUAUAUAGUGAUGGAAAUAAUCCAAUUAAUACAAAAAAUUAAUCAAUCAAAUUCAACUGAUUUUAAUUAUUUUCAAGCUUUCUAAUUUUUUGUCUCUCUGGGUAGUGACUGCGAGUUUUUUUGAAUUCUUUUUCAAAAUAAUAUAAAAAUAAAAAUUGGGCAAUAGAGAAGACUCCCACCCCACCCCCACCCACCCGAUAUUUAUAUAUUCCGUAUUUGGUGUGCAUAUUUUGAUUCAUUUGUUUAGACUCACCUCCUCCGAAAAUUACUUUAAAUUAAAAUUAUCCCCGUGCUCCCAUGCUUAAAAAAAGAAAAAGGGGGGCGCUAAAUAGUUCUUUAUAUAAUACUACACUCUCCUACUCUUUUUGUCCGUUAUUCCCUUUGUUUCUUGUCGUAUCCUAAAGUUAAUUAUUGUUUUUCUUCGAAUUAUUAUUGGGACAUUAUACAUAUAAGUAAAAAAAUAUUAAAAUGAUAUUUGUAUAAUAUGGACGCACAUAGAUAUUUGCAAGGCGCGAAACCGUUGCACGAGGUCCACAUUCCACAGUUCAUACUAAAGAAAAUGCUGUCACUAUUUGACAUAAUUCGCCACAAAGGAAUCUUGUUUCUUGACUUAGAGAAUUACAAAAUGAUAUUGUAUAACGGCUCUUAAAUAAUAACUAAAAAUAUAUAUAUUUUAUUUAUUUUUUAUAAAUAUAUAUUUUAGUAUAUUAUAUACAAAAAAAUAUAUUUUAUAUUUGUUUUGCGACUAACGAAUAUAAAUAGUUUCAGUUGCGGGUUAAAAGUGAUCUUUUCUUAAAAAAUUACAUAAGAGGUAUUACCAUAUGUAUUACUGUAAUUAAUUAAAAGUAUUGUGGUACACAUAGUAAUGAGAGGUAAAAUGAAACAGAUGUACCUAUUAUUUACCCUAAAAAAUUGUAAUAGAGUGCUUUGGCAAUUAUUUAUUUUUUCAAAUAAUUGUUCCUUAUUGGAAAAAAAAAAGGAUAAAAUGGUACAAGUGAUAUUACAUGAGCCUCGAGUAUGAAAAAAAUCUUGUUAUGGAACGCUUCCCCUUAAACGGAUCUUAUAUAACGCGAAUUCAAAUAUAGUCGAACUCCAAUAUAGAUAGACAUUACAUAAGUAGUGACUCUUUUGGCAAGUGGGAGACAAAGUUGCCUAUGACAUCUAACGCCAACCACCAACAAAAACCAUAGCAGAUAUUUUUGCAAUCAUAGUAUUCUCACAAUGGGAAUACUUAGAAUAUUUUUAAGCCUGAUUCAAUAUUUAAAUAAUUAAACUAAUGAAUAAAUCACUAUAAUAAAAAGUGAUAUAUUUUUUAGAUUUUAAUAUUUUUACUUUACUUAAUAUUUAUACAUACAUAUUUGAUUAAAAAAAUGAAUAAAGUAAUAUUAUGUGACAUACUAAAGACGAGGUGCAUCAAACCAUAUAUUUCCAUGGUGGUCUCAGACAUAGGCAAUCUACCGUGCACGUGUAACUUAUGAGUUCAUGUAAUUUGGGUAUACAGUUAAACCUCUCUAUAAUAAUAUUAUUUGUUUCAAUAUUUUUGGCUUUUAUAGUGUGGUUAUUGUACACCUAUAACAUUAUUUGAUGUUUAAAUAUAUUUUAGAUGUUAUAAGCAAAAAAUAUCCAAAAAUUAUUUUUUUAAUGUUAUAUAUAAAAGAUAAGAAAAUUAUCAAAUUUAAAUACGCAAAAGAUAUGUAAAUUUUACUAAUUAAAUAUUAAAGAAAGCUAACACAUUAUUAAUAAAUACGUAACUAAAUAUAUAAAAAUUUAAACUCUAAAACAUACAUUUUAAGGCUACUAGAAGAUUAAAUUAUUCAAUAUUGAUUAAAAAACUCUAUAUAUAAUUGUAGCUUGUUUUUAGUAUUUUACUAGCGAUAUAACACUUGAAUUAGCGAAGAUUUGCAUCGAGACUUUCAACAAAGGAUAUUUAAUAGCUUUCUCUUGAAUGCAAUCUAAGAGCUUAACAGUUGAAUCUUUUAUCUCGGUCCAAGUAGCAGUAGGUUAUGUAAAAAUCUUUAAACUUAUUAUUGGCUAUCUUAUUAGAAAUUCUACAUGGAUAUUAUAUAAGAAUAAUUUUAAAGUUAUAUCUAUAAAAGCAACAUCCAUCUUUCUACAUGAAUAAUUUUAUAAAGAGCAAUAUAACACUUGAAUUAACGAAGAUUUGCAUCGAGACUUUUAACAAAGGAUAUUUAAUAGCUUUCUCUUGAAUGCAAUCUAAGAGCUUAACAGUUGAAUCUUCUAUCUCGGUCCAAGUAGCAGUAGGUUAUGUAAAAAUCUUUAAACUUAUUAUUGGCGAUCUUAUUAGAAAUUCUACAUGGAUAUUAUAUAAGAAUAAUUUUAAAGUUAUAUCUAUAAAAGCAACAUCCAUCUUUCUACAUGAAUAAUUUUAUAAAGAGCAAUAUAACACUUGAAUUAACGAAGAUUUGCAUCGAGACUUUCAACAAAGGAUAUUUAAUAGCUUUCUCUUGAAUGCAAUCUAAGAGCUUAACAGUUGAAUCUUCUAUCUCGGUCCAAGUAGCAGUAGGUUAUGUAAAAAUCUUUAAACUUAUUAUUAGCGAUCUUAUUAGAAAUUCUACAUGGAUAUUAUAUAAGAAUAAUUUUAUAAAGAGCGUAAUGUUAUAAAGAUGGAUGUUGCUUUUAUAGAUAAUAAAAUUAUUAUAGAGAGAUAAAAUGAAAUAUAAAAAAUCGAUUCCGAGAAAAACUUGACUUUUAUAAUGAAUGAUUGUUCCGAUAUAUGCGUCUAUAAAGAGAUCUGACUAUAUAUCUUAUAUAUAUAUAUAUAUAUAUAUGUUAGGAAUAUAAGUAAAUAUUUAAUUAUAAAUUUAAUUAUUAUAAUUUAAAUUCACGAUAAAAAUAAAAAUUAUAAACUUUAAAUUCUGUUUGACAAGGGACCACCGACGAUUUGCCCGUUACCUUGAGAUCUGCAAAGCACAGGUAGCUGUGGGUCCAAAAUUCAAGAUCUCCGACCGCAUGCUGUCGGCGGAGAUCUAAUGCACAGCUCUCGUUAAACUUAAGUUUGGCCAAUGCAUUCUUGAUUUCUAGUACUCCACGACAGCUUAAUCAAAAUAAAUUAAUAGCAUUCAUUUUAUUAAAUUAUUUAAAUAUCGAAUGUGAAUAAUUUUUUUUAUUGAAUUUAGAUGUAAUAUAAAAUUAAUCAAAUAAAAAUUAUAAAUAAAUAAACCUUUGUGAUCCGAUCCUUUUUCGGACCUUGCACAUAGCAGGAGUUUAGUUUAUCGGAUUACGUUCUAAAUGUCUAAUUCAUUAGUAUUACUUACACAAUAUACUCUCAAUUCUAAUUCACCUCAAUUUUCACUUUGUCGGUAGCUAAGAGUAAUUAUGAAUAUCCUUUUAUCAAUAUUGGACCUCAGAGUUUAUCCAUUGCAAGGAAAAAAGUUGUAAAAUGUUUGUGUCACUUAAUCAAAUGCUAGUAGUAGUAGUGGCAUAGUCCUUUUGCCGCACCGCAUUUCUGCGUGAGCAUUGGAGUAACAGUAGAAUUAUUUCCGUGUGAUCUAUAAAUUAUAUAUUUAAAUCGUGAAAUUAACCAUUAAUAUUUUAUAUUAGAUAAAUUGUUUAUAUUGUAUCUUUUGAGAUAUAAUUUUUUUUCGAACGUUGCAUGAAUACGAAAUACGUUGGGUAUCGUGAUGCCUCUCCCAACGGGCAGAGAGAAAGCACGAAAAAGAGAGUGCAAAUGAAAGAAUACGAUAAUUACAAUAUAAAGGAAUUGACCUGUACUUUAGAGUGGCAGUUGUAGAAGUGAAAAGGAUGGAAGAUUUCAAAAAGAAAAAAAAAAGAAAAAACAAUCACUAUACGAAAUUAAUGUGUGCAUAAUGCUUAUAGUAAUUGUUACAACCCAUGUUUUUGUACGUGAAAGGCCGUCAUAAGUAAAUUAAUGAAAGCUCGAAAAUGAGAUAUUACAUUUCGCAUUUUUGUACGUUAAAGUUUCGUCGUAAGUUAAUCGACGUAAAUUCGAGAAUGAGACUAUUCUGGGAUUAUAAGUAUUAUGUUAUUUCAAACAAGUGAUGAGUAAAUUCUUGAAGAUGAGAGGGUAAGAAAAUCAAAAAAAUAAAUUUCGUCGAAGUUUGACAUUUUGGGAUACAAUGCGACCCGAGCUAAAAUACCCGAUAUUUAUGGACUAGUGUCAUACAAGGUACCACAUGACCAUGAUAGCAAGGUGUAUAAUGUGUGUUAAUUAUGUGUAUAAUUGAGUAAUUAUCGGUCAGUGGGAGAUUAAUAAGAUAAUCAAGAAGAUUAGUAAAUAAUUAUGAUUAUGGGAUAAGGCCUAAAAGGACCAAAACGUGGCAGCCACUAUACAAUUAGUGAUUCUUGAAUUGAAUUGCUAGGUGGCACCUUUAGAGGACCUCUUAGCUAAGCCAUAAAAGGCUUCUUAAAUUCAACAAAAGAUAUGUAAGAUUUUGAUCAAAAAUUCACAAAAUAAGAGAUUCUCACCUCCUCCCAUCUCCAAGUAAUGAUCUCCAUAGCAAUAUACAUUGCUUUAGCAAAACAAAAUGUUAGUAACAUGAGUUACUUCACAAAAAAGGGCGCUUAAUCUAAUCUACAAAGUGACGGAUCUCCAACCAAGAAAUUCAUACGAAGUUAUACUACGUAAUAGCAACAGGAUUUGUAAUUUUAAGGGAGUACGGUGUAAUCUUUCUCAAGAAUAUCAUACGGAUUUUCUCCUGCUUCGAUCCGCCGUCACUUGUUAUCGCAAUCAACGGGUGUUAAAGGGGAUUGUCAAGAGAAUCAGCUCAGGUAUGUAAAGGCUAAGCCCUUCUUUCAUAUUGGCAUGAUCUCGUAAUUAUAUGUGUUUGAUAACGAGGCAUAAAGAGAAGUUCAUACUUCCGAAUUUAUAUACAUUAUCCUAGUCUCAUAAAUUACAAUAUUCUCCUUAUCGGGACUUCAUAUUUAAUUGAGUAUUGCNNNNNNNNNNNNNNNNNNNNAGAUACAUAGCCUAGUAUGGCCGAGCGCCUAUGAGCGACCCUACUACGACAGAGCAGUUAUAUAUACCGAGCCUUAUAGGGCCGGAUAAUUAUUUUACUUACUAUAUUGAGAGAGUUGAGUCAGUAUCAGCAGGUAAGCCUAUCUUCAGAUUACGUUUGACUCCUAGUUACUUUCAGUUAUUAUACUAUCAGUUUAGUUUCAGCUUUCGGUAUAUUGCCUUACAUACUCAAUACAUUAUUUCGUACUGAUGUCCCUUUUCUGGGGGCGCUGCAUUUCAUGCGUGCAGGUUCAGUCAGACAGACGGGUAGACCUCAUCAUUAGGUGUUGCCUGAGUUCAGCUUGAUCGGUAAGCUCCAUGCCCUCCGGAGUUGCCGGGUUUAGAGCUUUAUGUACAUCUUGUGUAUACAUGUAUAUAUGUUAUGAGUAGGUCGGGGCCCUAUCCCGGUCAUAGUAUAUCCAUCAGUAGAGGCUUGUAAUAUCCUGUCAGUUUGUGCAGUAUGUUGGGCUUGUAGGCCUUGUAUGUAUAUUUUGUUGGUUUGUCAGCUGUAGUAGUUAUGACGGCAUUCUCGACCCAGCUUUAUAUUGAUGUCUAAUCAGUGUUCGCAAAUUGUCUUGCAAUGUGGCCUAUGGCCAAGGUGUGAUAUUAUAUGUUCAGAGUCCCUUAGUCGCAAGUUGGUACACAAGGAUGGAUGAGGCACCGGGUGCCGGUCUCGUCCUCCAGGUUCGGGGCGUGACAAAAGUAGUAUCACAGCAGUUCUGUCCUAGGGAGUCUACAAGCCGUGUCUAGUAGAGUCUUGUUUAUGGGUGUGUUGUGCACCACACUUAUAAGCAGGAGGUUAUAUGGUAUUUAGGACUGUCACUCUUUCUUCUUACUCUAGAUCGUGUAGUAGAGCUCAAUUGUAAGAACUCAAUUUCCUAAACUCUGUCUUAUUCAUAAUACGACGAUGUCUACAUCCAGAAAGACGGUUGGUAAAAGAUUGCAUGUGGCUACAGAAGAGUUGAGUUAGAGGAACUCGAUUCUGCAUGAUGCUUAUGAUGAGUAAAUGUGAGGUCUUCAGCAGAUCAUGUGUGUACUAAAAGGUAUAAGCUUCUUGAUUAGAAGCCCUAAGGCAUGGAUAUCUAUCCACCCAUGUGGUAAAUAGCAACGACAGAAUCAAAAGGUACAAGUUUCAACAAGUACAAGAAGCGAGGUGAAAAAGGGUUUGAGGUACCUAGUUAGUAAGGAUGAACAUUAUCUACAAUUCGGGAAGAGAGAUAUAAGCAUUUUGAGUUAUCUUCAACAACAACAAAUGUAUGUACAGUCGGCCACAUCCAUCUCAGUCAUGACCUAUGGGAGCAAACAGAUAUGGUUUAAGAGAAGGACAGGAUAUCAGGAUCCGGCUGGGGUUAGAGUAACCCAAAAUGAUAGAUGGAUUGUUUGAGUUAGUUGAUAUUUUCGAAGGAUAUUACAAAGGUGCUAAUAGACCUCCUUGUGAGACACCCAGAUGAUACACUCUAGAAUAUUACAAUUAGAUGUGAAUACUAGCAUGAUCAAAAAAUUCAGAAGAUAGGCACUGAAAGCCUGGAAGGGAUAAAGAUUACCUUAGUGUGGCUUCCGUCCCUAGUAGAGCGAGAACGUUGAGCAAACCGAAGAGCCAAUGAAUGAAACAAGGGGAGUUAAAAGCAAAAGAAUGUCUUGUUGAAGUUUUCAAAAGAAAGCGAUAGGCAGAAAUAUUAGCAGGGAAAUAAGAAGAGAGAUAAGGAAGCAUUAUGAGUAAGAUGUGAUACAUGGAUGACAACGGUAGAUAAAAAAGAUGAUAGUAUUACAGAGUAUAUAGUCAAGUGAAGGAAAAGACGAGAGGUGACAGGCCUUGAGACGACAAAAGAGUAUAGGCCAUAAAGUCAAAUCCUCAUUUCGAGAAAUAAGUUUGUGACUCCAACGCGACUACCAAAAGGAAAAGUUAGAUCCCAAAGUAAUAAAAAUCAGUAUGGGCUAGUGAACAAGAUAAACUAAACAAGAAUUAGGGACUGAAUGAUUUGAUAAUGGUCGACAUCAUGAGAAUUUCAUAUUGCGUUCUGGCGAUAAUAGAAUGGACAACAGAAGAAGAUUCAUGAGAAAUUCAGAGAAUGGUUAUUCAGGAAGAUGCCUCCCUAAAGCAAGCAAUGUAAGAAAAGUUAAGCUUAAGGGACUGUAUGUGCCAGUUGCACUAAGUGUCACCAUCGGGAGUAAGGAAUUUUGUUAUCCUUGGUAUAGAAGGACUACCGCAAGGUGAGUAAGGGUCAUCGAUGAUGUGAAAGGACGCCAAAGAUGAAGAGGUAAAAUAUCUAUAGAUAGGUCGUAGUAGCUCCAACUCUUAGCACUCCCAUAAAUGGGGGAAUAUGGAGUGAUGUGGUAUUAAGUCAGAAUUAAGUGGUUCUAGUACUUAUGGAAUGGUAAGGGAAGAAUGCGAAAAAAAAUGAAAAAGGGAUGAGAUUGCACUUAUUCAAAUCCUACAAAUAUGCUACGAUUCCAGAACAUUAUGCAAACACGACGUCAAGAAAAGGAAGUAAGGGUCCUUGCCCGAGAUGUUAUUAAUAGAUAAGGAUCCAGUGCGAGACGUAAGUUAAGACAAAGAAAAUAACCCAAGAUAGAUUACACGAAAUAUUGAUAUGAGAAUGGGCCAGCGAGUAGUUAGUAAUUGAUUCAGGAAGAGCCUAGUUAUGGCUAAACAGGAGGUUACAGACGAGUCAGCAGAUCGUGCUAGAUNNNNNNNNNNNNNNNNNNNNNNNNNCCUUAUGAGUGUUAUAGGAAUAAAAAGAAAGACCCUACUAGGAAGACAGUCAAAACUUCAGAAGCAACCGUACGAGCACAUGAGUGUGGAGGAGUCAGAGGGUCUCCCCUAAGUACUAAAAUGAAAAACUAGCUGAGGAAAUAAGAAAGAAGGUUUCAACCUAAGCACAGUGAUCUAAAGAGGAAAUGGUCAUGUAACAACAGUCUCACAACAACAUUAUAUGACUCCAUGAGAAGAUGCCACCUACCGUGGCUAAUGAACGGGAAGUAAAAUCAGAAGUAAUACUCGAGAUCAUAUGAGUUGCACGAAAAUUCUGGCAUACGUAGGAACUAAGAUAAGCUGAGUAGGCACGCAACAAGGAGGCAGAAAGACCAGAAAAAGUAAUAGCUUACGUUUAAAGGAAGCUUAGAAGGAACGAAAGCAAUUAUUCAAUCACUGAUCCAGAGUUAAUUACGUUAUGAACACACUUAAGAGUUUGGAGUAUUAUCCAUCCAGUAUAUAUGUUGAAAACCAUAUAGCCGUAGAAGAUUCCGGUAUAAGUUAAAAGAAAGAAUUGAGCCCAAGUCAUAGACAAAUGAUUGAAUUGUUAGGAGAUAGUAUCAUGGAUAUUCCAUAGCGUCCAUGAAAGGCUAAAGUAAUAACUAAUACUAGGAGCCGUAAAUCGAAAGAUAGCUCAAGCCUACAUAAAGGUUGAUCAAAGGGAAGAGGAAACUAAAGAGUUACAUUAACCAAGUAAAUCAAGAGUCUGAUUAUUGGACCCAUAAAUUUAUAGACCUCGUGAUUAAAAACAUUGCAGGAUCACUCUUAAAUAUUGUAGGUACAAGAGAGAUAGUGCAGUAGCCAUAUUCUAUAACGGCUCUACGAUAAAGCCAGUAAGAAGAGUACCAGCCUUAUAAGAAGUCAGUAUAAAGCUCCCACCAGAUUGUGUAUGCACCAAAUGUGCAAGUAUUAUAAUAAGAGCUUCAAGUUGUGGAUGUGAAUUAUACCUAUGUGGAAGGGAUGUCAUAAAAGAGAUAGAAGAUAUGAUGCGAGAUUUUAAGGCAAAGGUGAACAACGUACGAGAUACUCAGGUGCAAAAGUUUAUGAAUAAUCUAUACAUCAGAUAUACGGCUAGAAGUGCCGGGAUUCAGUAUCCAGGAAUGAUAGCGGCGUCAUCAGUAGCAUAUCUUCCAACCUAUGUUUUUUUUUAAAUAUCGAGAGGUCUAGCUAAAAGAGUAAAGAAGAGUUUGAGACGAUGUGAUGUCUCGCUUGAUGUUCCAGAAUAACAUAAGAAAAUCUAUGGUGCAAGUAAGUUAAAGGAAGAUGGUGAAAUAUAUAAAUAAAUAUGUGUAGGUCGCAAGCUAAAGUAUGGUAAAGCGACAAGGUUUUAAGAAGACAAAAGUAAGGAUAAAAAAGGGCGAGUGAGAAGGUGAUGAGAAACGGAUAAGUUAUCGGGAUUAAGCCCGUGAAAACAAGAGAGUUGAUGAUUUCUCUAAGUUAUAAAAAGCUCAGUAUGGCCUGAAUGAACUCAAAGGAGUUACUCAUCAUAAAUAGCGUUUAGAAGAGAUGGAAUGAUGCUCUGAUAGUAGAAUAAAGGUGUAAUUGUGUUAGAUAAAUGAUGACGUUUGAGCCUUCGAUUGAGUAAUGAUUUAAAGAAAAGGAUUCAUGAAUUAUAAGGGAUUAAAAUACCCACGUAAGGUGAAUCACAUUGGAAUGCCAUGAAAUACGAUGGAAGUAUAGUAUCACCCCCAGGUGGGUCAGGAAAAUUACUUCAAAUGUUACUCGAUGCAACGUGAGCCCUAGCGAUUAUGUAAGAAGUUUCAAGUUAUCAGUGGUAAAUUGUAGAUCAAUAUUGAGGUGAAUCAACAAUGGAUGGACAAAAUUCACAAAGUAUGAGACGAGAUUAGGCUGUCAUUCUUAAGAUGAACAGUAAUGAAAGAGCAUUAAAGGACUUGAAUUUAUACAUAUGGGAUAAGCAACGAAAGUAACCUGGAGUUUGGUAGCAGACCUCAGUAAGGAUAAAUCAAAGUAAGAGUUAUAGUAUAGUAUGACCUACCUAGGUAUAGUAAAGUUAUACGGAUGGAUAAACGAAAUAAGGUAUAGCAAUAUUCGUGAGUUCAACAAAGUGCCGAACAAAGAACUUCGAUAUACCCAUAGAUGCCCAAAGGGACAUCUUAUCAAGCUCUGUAUAUGUUUACAAAGUGAAGUCUAGAGAUUGGGUAAAAGCUGGAGGAAAAAGGAAAGAAGAGUCGCAUAGGCGUAUUUACAAGGAAAAAGUCGUACAGGCUGCAUAACAGAAGGUAGCAAGAGUUACGAGAUUGGAAGAAUCUCGACCAUAGGCCGUGGUGUACGAAAGAGACCUACAAGUGGGAAUACCUUGGACUUUGGAUUUAUUCACAGAACAACUGCCUAAGAUGGUAAGGGGAGUACUAAAGUAUUCGCAAGGACUAUAGGCUAUGAUAAUGAUAAGUGCAUCAGUCAAUAUUCGAAGACGAAUAUUCCAAAGGGGGGAAUGAUGUUACACCCCAUUUUUUCGUACGUGAAAGUACGCCAUAAGUAAAUUGAUGAAAGCUCGGAAAUGAGAUAUUACAUUUCACAUUUUUGUAUGUUAAAGUUUUGUCGUAAGUUAAUCGACGUAAGUUUGGAAAUGCGAUUAUUUUGGGAUUAUAAGUAUUAUACUAUUUCAAACAAGUGAUGAGUAAAUUAGUGAAGAUGAGAGGGUAGGCAAAUCGAAAAAAAUGAAUUUCGUCGAAGUUUGACAUUUUGGGAUAGAAUGCGGCCCGAGCUAAAAUACUCGGUAUUUAUAGACUAGUGUCAUACAAGGUACCACAUGACCAUGAUAGAAAGGUGUAUAAUGUGUGUUAAUUAUGUGUAUAAUUGAGUAAUUAUCGUUCAGUAGGAGAUUAAUAAGAUAAUCAAGAAGAUUAGUAAAUAAUUAUGAUUAUGGGAUAAGGCCUAAAAGGACCAAAACGUGGCAGCCACUAUACAAUUAGUGACUCUUGAAUUGAAUUGCUAGGUGGCACCUUUAGAGGACCUCUUAGCUAAGCCAUAAAAGGCUUCUUAAAUUCAACAAAAGAUAUGUAAGAUUUUGAUCAAAAAUUCACAAAAAUAAGAGAUUCUCACCUCCUCCCAUCUCCAAGUAAUGAUCUCCAUAGCAAUAUACAUUGCUUUAGCAAAAUAAAAUAUUAGUAACAUGAGUUACUUCACAAAAAAAGGCGCUUAAUCUAAUCUACAAAGUGACGGAUCUCCAACCAAGAAAUUCAUACGAAGUUAUACUACGUAAUAGUAACGGGAUUUGCAAUUUUAAGGGAGUACGGUGCAAUCUUUCUCAAGAAUAUCAUAGGGAUUUUCCCCUACUUCGAUUCGCCGUUACGUGUUGUCGCAAUCAACGGGUGUUAAAGGGGAUUGUCAACAAAAUCGGCUCAGGUAUGUAAAGGCUGAGCCCUUCUUUCAUAUUGGCAUGAUCUCAUAAUUACACGUGUUUGAUAACGAGGCAUAAAGAGAAGUUCAUACUACCGAAUUUAUAUACAUUAUCCUAGUCUCAUAAAUNNNNNNNNNNNNNNNNNNNNNNNNNNNNNNNNNNNNNNNNNNNNNNNNNNNNNNNNNNNNNNNNNNNNNNNNNNNNNNNNNNNNNNNNNNNNNNNNNNNNNNNNNNNNNNNNNNNNNNNNNNNNNNNNNNNNNNNNNNNNNNNNNNNNNNNNNNNNNNNNNNNNNNNNNNNNNNNNNNNNNNNNNNNNNNNNNNNNNNNNNNNNNNNNNNNNNNNNNNNNNNNNNNNNNNNNNNNNNNNNNNNNNNNNNNNNNNNNNNNNNNNNNNNNNNNNNNNNNNNNNNNNNNNNNNNNNNNNNNNNNNNNNNNNNNNNNNNNNNNNNNNNNNNNNNNNNNNNNNNNNNNNNNNNNNNNNNNNNNNNNNNNNNNNNNNNNNNNNNNNNNNNNNNNNNNNNNNNNNNNNNNNNNNNNNNNNNNNNNNNNNNNNNNNNNNNNNNNNNNNNNNNNNNNNNNNNNNNNNNNNNNNNNNNNNNNNNNNNNNNNNNNNNNNNNNNNNNNNNNNNNNNNNNNNNNNNNNNNNNNNNNNNNNNNNAGUAUCAGCAGGUAAGCCAAUCUUCAGAUUACCUUUGACUCCUAGUUACUUUCAGCUAUUAUACUAUCAGUUUAGUUUCAGCUUUCGGUAUAUUGCCUUACAUACUCGGUACAUUAUUUCGUACUGACGUCCCUUUUGUGGGGGCGCUGCAUUUCAUGCGUGCAUGUUCAGUCAGACAGACGGGUAGACCUCCUCAUUAGGUGUUGGGAGUUCAGCUUGAUCGGUAAGCUCCAUGCCCUUCGGAGUUGCCAGGUCUAGAGCUUUAUAUACAUCUUGUGUAUAUAUGUUAUGAGUAGGUCGGGGCCUGUCCCGAUUACAGUAUAUCCAUCAGUAGAGGCUUGUAAUAUCCUGUUAGUUUGUGCAGUAUGUUGGGCUUGUAGGCCUUGUAUGUAUAUUUUAUUGGUUUUUCAGCUGUAGUAGUUAUGACGAUCUUGUCGACCUAGCUUUAUAUUGAUGUCUAGUCAGUGUUCGCAAAUUGUCUUGCAAUGUGGCCCAUGGCCAAGUUGUGACAUUAUAUGUUCAGAGUCCCUUAGUCGCAAGUUAGUACGCAAGGAUAGGUGAGGCACCGAGUGUCGGCCUCGUCCCCUAGGUUCGGGGCAUGACAGUAAUUGCCAUGAUUAUCUUCCCCCCCUAGACUAUCUUGGUCAUGUUAAUCACUAUGUCAUGAUCUUCAUGUUGAGAUUGAAAAUAACAAGACGUCAUACGGAAGUUAACAAAAUAACCUUUUGGCAACAAUAAAUUAGACGAUAUAGAAAUAUUUAUUAAAAAAAGACGUACUAAUUAGUGACCUACAUUAAUCUACUAGUAUAAAAGAGGAAAAAAACUUAUGAGAGAAUAAAUUAUCUCUUUAAGCAAAACUCUCUAAAGUACUACAUUGUAGUCUCUAGAUACUUUUCUAUAUUAUUUUUCUAUGAAGGAGAGAUAAUCAAUUUAUAGUGGUUACAACUUUUUUUUCACGAAAGAGAUCUAUCAAAUAAGGAAGAGAUCUAUAUUUUCCUUUUAGGAAAAAUAAAAUUAAUUAUGGUAAACUCUUUUAUUUUCAAUAAGAAAAAGUAAAAUCCAAAUAUGAAAAUAAAAUGAGAACAAAAUACAAACACUUCAAACAAUUCUUACUUUAAAAAUUUGCGUGUGAUAUUAAUUAGAAGCUGAACCAGAAAUUUUAACAAGGAAUUCAAAAUAAGCUGCACUAAAAGUUUUUGUCAUUAGAAAAAAUUUAAAGUUAUAUAUAUUACACAAUUUUUUUUUUUAAUCUUAUAUGAUGAUAAUAUUUUCGGCAAAGGUAAUCAACUUAACCUUUCUUUAUACAUAGCUUCGCGAUUAGAUUAAUAAUGAAAAUAAUACUUUAAAGUUUGAAAAGAAAAUAUUAUACUAUAUAUUCUCUCAAAAUAAAACCAAGUAAAAUAGAUCAUAAAACAAUAAUGACCACCCACCUCCCAAAUCUCUCAUCCUUUUAUUUAUUUAGAUUUUUAGUUAACAAAUUUCCAGAUCUACCAAACCCCAAUAUAUCCAAUCAAAUUUUCAGAUCUAAAAAUAAAAAUUUCAGAUCUGAAACAAAUCGUGACCGUCCAUUUUCAUCCAUCAAACCUAUUUAAUACCACUCACCUCCGUCCUCAAUUCCUUGCAACGCUCUUCUCCUCUAAAAACCCCUUUAGAAGAAGAGAAAAAAGCCUCUCAAAUCUCAUCUCUAACCACCCAAUUUCUCAUACUCGCUCUACCCAUGGCUCUAUUAGUCGAGAAGACCACCUCUGGCCGCGAGUACAAGGUCAAGGACAUGUCUCAGGCCGAUUUCGGCCGGCUUGAAAUCGAGCUGGCCGAAGUUGAAAUGCCUGGUCUCAUGGCUUGUCGUACUGAAUUUGGCCCUUCACAGCCAUUUAAAGGUGCUAAGAUUACUGGAUCUUUACAUAUGACCAUUCAAACUGCAGUUUUGAUUGAAACCCUUACUGCUUUGGGUGCUGAAGUUAGAUGGUGUUCUUGCAACAUCUUCUCCACUCAAGAUCACGCCGCUGCUGCCAUUGCACGUGACAGCGCCGCCGUGUUCGCGUGGAAGGGUGAGACUCUGCAGGUAUAGUGAACAUUUAUGUGAUAUUCUUUCCUUAGAAUCUCUCUAAAAGUGAGAUCUUUCUAUAUUUGGAAAUAGUUUAACUUUAAACUUAUGUGAUUUGGUUAUAGCCAAACAAAUAUUAUAGCUUGUUUAAUAUAUGUGAUACUUUUUGUUUUUAGUUUUGUUCCAAUAAAAGUGAUUAUCUUUCUAUAUUUAGAAAGGCGAUUUAUAGCUACAAAAAUAUCUAGAGCUUGUUUUGGAUCUCAACUCUCAAAAUUGAGUGGAUAAGAUGUAGUGACUUUAUUCUGUUAAAAGAUGGUAAAAAGAAAGAUAUUUUUCUAUAUUUAGUACUAAUAACUUAACUUUAAUUUUUUCGAAUUGCUUAAUAAGAUAAUUUAUAGGUAUGCCUUGUUUUAGAUCGCAACUUUCAAAGUUGAGUGGACAUAGUUUAGUGAGUUUAUUGUUAUAAGAUUGUAAAUUUCAGUUAUUUUUAACUUGACUUGUGACAAAAAAUAAUUUUGUGAUUUUAUAGUUAUAGUUGGUGAUGCAUUUUAAUGAAUUUGCAGGAGUAUUGGUGGUGUACUGAGAGGGCACUUGACUGGGGUCCAGGUGGUGGGCCCGACUUGAUCGUCGACGAUGGUGGUGAUGCUACACUCUUGAUUCAUGAGGGUGUUAAGGCAGAAGAAGAGUUUGCUAAGAAUGGGACAAUCCCAGAUCCUAACUCUACCGAUAAUGCUGAGUUUCAGCUUGUACUUACUAUUAUUAAGGAAAGUUUGAAGACUGAUCCUUUAAAAUAUACCAAGAUGAAGGAAAGACUCGUCGGUGUUUCUGAGGAAACUACCACUGGAGUUAAGAGGCUUUAUCAGAUGCAGGCUAAUGGAACUUUGCUUUUCCCUGCUAUUAAUGUUAAUGAUUCUGUUACCAAGAGCAAGGUAUAUACUUGUUUUCGUAUUUUAUUUUGUUUCUUGUGUUUCAGAUCUAUGUGGAUUGGUUGUAUGGAUUGUUUGUUUUAUUUAGAUCUGAUAGGAAUGGUUGAUCAUUACUUGGAUCAUUAAGUUAUACUUUUUACUUAAUGUUGGUUGAUUUGUAUUGUUUAAGUAUAGGGUAAAUUGUUAGUUGAUGAAUCUUAUAAAUGAAUCUUUAAUUGUUUUGGUAAGUGGAGGAAAUAGAUUUGCCUUCUGGACUUUAAAAGCUAAAAGUUGACAUCUUUUCCAAUUAGACUAUUUUGUUUUUGUGUUUGUAUUCACUGAAUAGAAAGUUGUAACUCGAUUUGGUGAAAUAUUUAUGUGAUAGAUGCAAAUUUCACUAUAUCUUUAUUGUUAAGUAGAGAGUAGAUGGUUUCUUAAAUGCCUGAUCUUGGUACAUAAAGAAAAAGGAUAUUUAUUUCAUUUCCUAAGAAAGUUCAUCGACUUUCUUGUAUCAAUUGUUUGCUUAGAGGAAAAGAAUGAUUAAUCUUUUGGGUUUAAAUAUUUAAUGCUUGAAGUGUACAAUUUUCCUCUUACUCUACUGAAGAAUAGCUCCAUGUUUGACCAAUAGAAGUCUAAUUCAUUUGGAAAAGCUACUGUGUCUUUUGGCUCGCUAGCCAUAUUGGUUUGAGGAAUCAAGUGUGAUAUUGUCCUCAAGUUGUUGGAGAUGCAUAAAAUAGUACAUCUUGAUUAGCUUUCUACCAAUGUUAUGUCUGUUAUUUAGCUCAUAGACUGACAAUUGUAUUGAUCCAUUUGGUUUCCAGUUCGACAACUUGUACGGAUGCCGCCACUCACUGCCCGAUGGUCUCAUGAGGGCUACUGAUGUUAUGAUUGCCGGAAAGGUUGCCCUUGUUGCUGGUUAUGGAGAUGUCGGCAAGGGUUGUGCUGCUGCCUUGAAACAAGCCGGUGCCCGUGUGAUUGUGACCGAGAUUGACCCUAUCUGUGCUCUCCAGGCUACCAUGGAAGGCCUCCAGGUCCUUACUCUAGAGGAUGUCGUUUCUGAUGUUGAUAUCUUUGUCACCACGACCGGUAACAAGGACAUUAUCAUGGUUGACCACAUGAGGAAGAUGAAGAACAAUGCCAUUGUUUGCAACAUUGGUCACUUUGACAACGAAAUCGACAUGCUUGGUCUCGAGACCUACCCUGGUGUCAAGAGGAUCACAAUUAAGCCUCAAACCGACAGAUGGGUCUUCCCUGACACCAACAGUGGCAUCAUUGUCUUGGCUGAGGGUCGUCUCAUGAACUUGGGAUGUGCCACAGGACACCCUAGUUUUGUGAUGUCGUGCUCGUUCACUAACCAAGUCAUUGCCCAACUCGAGUUGUGGAAUGAAAAGAGCAGUGGGAAGUAUGAGAAGAAAGUGUA
rnacentral:lncRNA from 1 species